AUAUGGUGAACAAUUUAUUGGAGAUAAAUAUUAACGUAACUUGGCCAUAGCUUGAAGCAUAGCAACAUAUGCCUAUGAGUGGCAUUCAUGCUAUCAUUUUAGGCUUGUCCAGCUCCUUCCAUCUUAGCAAGCACUUCCAUUUCUACCAUCUUAGCAGCAACUGUCAAAUUGAGAUACGGAAAUCCCAUUAGCGCAUGAGUUAAUUUUGCAGUGGAAAUAGAGUACAAGAUGUCUUCAUGAUGUAAGUAAUAUGCCUGAAGUUGUGAGAUGGGAAGUGAAGUCAACAAAUUACAUUAAUGGAAAUGCAUGGAAGGCCACACAUACGUAUUAGUCCAUGAUAUGCUACAAAGCUUGUAUGUACAUAUAGCAAAUUAAAUGCAUUAAUUGAAUAGAGUGUGUUUAGUGAAUUUACCAGAAUCGUCCAGAAAACAUGGGAAACAGCAAGUGUUCUUGCAGACUGCGUCGGAGGCACCCGCACGAAUACAAAGCUGACAACAUAGUUUUGCCUGGGCGGAUGCGCAGCAGCCGCACUCCGCCGCGGUGGGGUUAACAUUGAGGCUCAAGAUGACCAGGCACAUGAUCACCAUCAAAGUGGUAGUCCUCUUUCCCUCCAUUGCCUCCUCUUAGCUUGCUGCUACCUUCCUUGGUUACCUAGCUAAGUUUAUUGGUUUUGUGUUGAGAGGUGUGAUUCUUGAAUGGACGUUGCCGGCGGCAAUUUAUAGGCAGCUGAGCUAUGUGAUGAUAUGGACUAGGUGCAAAUGGGUGGUUAAUGGCAAGGAAAGGGGCGUCAGACAAAGCCCAAUGGCAACUGCUGACAUGCGAUUAAAUUCAGAUCCACAUCCGGCCAUUCAAUAAUACGGUUGGAGUUGUGGCACAGAUAUAUUAUUGCAUGAUCAUCAAGAUAAGAUCGUACAGUGACUGAGUGAGACAAUAAAUAGCCAAGUAAACUAUUUUAUCCUGCUGCAAGCAGCGCUGCAUUCAUAAGUUUAUUUCACCUUUGAUCACAAUACUCUUCACACACGUACGUCUCAGGGAGAUCUUACUUCCGCUGGACUGCUCACUUCCGCUGUCAUCAGUACUGCCAAAGACACAAGCUCACAUCUGCUAUUGCGGAGCAGGCCAAUUUGCUGCGGAACUUCGGUGACGACCUGAAGGACAUGAAUUCGGUGCUGGAGUCCAUCUCAGUAGCACUCCAGGACGCUGACACUGGUAGAAAAACGACCUUCCAUCGUCAACAAAAAUCCCGGUAGCUUUUUUACUCAGUACUAAAGAGGUUUUAAUCUCGUGCAAACACCUUUAGUCCGGAUUGCUGUUACCUGUUACCACGCAACCCGGACUAAAGCGUACCCCACGAGUUACUAUAUAAGGAUUGCAUCCUUUACUUAGUCAGAUAUAAUGUGUAGGUGAGAUGAUAAGGAAGUUAUGCGUGAGGCUUAAGGUUGUGGGUUCGAAUCCAAGGAGAAGUGGGUGCAGCUGUGGCUUAAGCGGCUGAGGCACGCCGCCAUAGACAUCUCAAAUUUGCUCGAAGACUACCAAGACACUAGUGAACCCUUAACAGUAAAGGUGAGUACUUAUGAAUGUCAGCAUCCAUGUUGUCCAUGCUUCCAAUGUAAUAACAAGAUGGACUACUCUUCCUAGCGGACUCUUCACAACCACUCGUAAAGCUAUAUGUUUCUCAAUGCAAUUUCGUAGAAGCCAAUCGAUCCAACCAAGUGACUAAAUCAUUCAUCCUUUCCAAUGAUGUGCAUCAGGUUUUCUACAUGAAGGGCAUGUCUAGCAAACCCAAGAUUUCAGAAGAAAAAGAAAAAUCAUUGGAACCAAAGAGCCACAUAGUUCUUCCAGGAAAAAAAUCAUGGGAGUCGAGAACAAAUCAAACCAAUCAGAGGAUUAUGGUCAGCUUAAUGGCAUGCCUCCAUUCGAUGUCGAAGUUCACCCAAGCAUCAUGUUAGCCAAACAUCAAAUGUUCGUGCGUUGUUACGGUAAAGAUCAAUUGUGUUUUUUAAACUCAUGGAAUUUUUUUUCUAAGUUUUUAUUACACUUAUUGGAUGUCUACACAUUUGCUAGAAAACCAAAAUAAUUUGGACUUAAUUAUUUCUUUCAACUGAAGUACUCACUAAAUUUCUACCUUUUUAUUUAAGCAAGAGAGUUGCUAAAAAAAAUGGAUACAUAACCAUGUUGUAUCGUACAAAGCAACCACAUUUCACAUAUAGUCCGGCUUACCAAACACCAUUUUUUACUGAACAUAGCGUACAUGAGUUAAGAGACAUGGAUUUAUUUCUAUUGCAAGUAGCAUAGCGUACAACCUGCCUGCACCGAUGCAGCUCAAUAUGCGAUAAUUUUUAUCUUCCCAUGUAAUUUUUCUACUCUAGUACAUAUUGAACUCCACAUUAAUGUCAUGUUCUUUGGCGCCCCAGACGGUUCCUAAAGUUUGGAAACAAAAUAGAUAGCCAGAAAUUUUUUUUAAAAUAUUUAUAUGGAUAUUUGUAUGUUCUUUGCAAACUAACAAUAUUGUUUACCAAUAUCAAAAGGAAUAUGGCUAGGAGCCAUUGCCGCAUAUGGCAGGUGAUGGUAGAUGGCGUAUGGGAUUUCGUUAAUUUAAUGGUAUAAUAAGCUGAAAUACAUUUUCUAUUUGCAAAUGAAUCAUAGCUGAAAGUGGUGAGAUUGUUUUUUCGCCGGUUUAGCAUCCUGUGCACCGGUUCAACUGGAGGGAAGCGGUUCACCGAGACGGAUGGCAAUUUUACGGCAGAAUCAUUACUUGUUUUAUUAUUAGGUGAAGAUUUUAGCUUUUAGGUAUCUCACAUUAACAAUCUGUUUCUAGUGUAUAAUGUAGGAGACCCGUAAAGAGUCUACACACACAUAUAUAUGUUGACUAUGAAUGUAAGUUUGUUGGUUUUAUGUAUGUUCAUUUGGAGUUUAUAUAAAUUUUACAUUUUAUAGUUUUGUGUAUAUGACGAAGAUCCAUGACUUGCAUUAAUUUAACCUUUCUUCCAACAACUCUUAUGCAUGCUGUUUCUAGGGGAGCGCACUGGUUGCAAUUUUGGUCCCCGAUAUAGCAUGAGGACUUAAGGGAGACGUGCACGUCGUAACCUUAGAUAUUUUUGCAAGAAGCAAAUUAUACUUUGCUUUUGAUUUUCUCCAUGCCAUUUGCUGACUCUUAUCCCUUUUAUUUAUCAUUAUAAGAUGAAAAUAUUGUAAAAACUUGGUUACGUGCGGUCGCAGAAGCUAGAGACUAUUUCUUUUUUUAAAAAUACACAAGAGGGAGAAACUUGGUAACAGCUAGACAGUGAAGAUCGCAUUUCAUAAGAAAGAUGGUGCACGUUCUUGUUUGGCUGUUAACGAAAUGACUUCGUUUCACCACACCACCAGAGAGCCCCAUUGCACUUGCAGCAAAAGCGUGGAGCCGCUUUCAACCAGCGUGCAAUAAUGCAGUCCCGCGUGUCUUGGUCUUACAAGAUAUUUGGUUCUUUAGUCCGGACUAAAAUUCAUGUCGCAUAGAAUAUUCAGAUGUUAAAUAGGAGGACUAAACAUGAGCUAAUUAUAAAAAUAAUUACACAAAUGGAGGCUAAUUCCCGAGACAAAUCUAUUAAGUCUAAUUAAUCCAUCAUUAGCACAUGUUUACCGUAGCACCGUAUUGUCAAAUCAUGGACUAAUUAGGCUUAAUAAAUUCGUCUCGCAAGUUAGUCUCCAUCUAUACAAUUUGUUUUAUAAUUAGUCAAUGUUUAAUACUCUAUCUAAACAUUCAAUGUGACUGAAAUUUUAGGAGGUCCUAAAGAACCAAACACCCCUUAGUCUCCGCCUGAACUAUAGCAGGUGCUGGCAGCGGUAGCAGGGUCGUCCAUUAUAUCUAUGGAUGGAAAUGAUCUGAUUCGGAUGGAAUCGAAUUCGAAUAGCACUUUUUACCACAUACUAAUCUGAAUUGGAUGUUCUCGAAUGUGAAUGCAAAACGGAUAGUUCAAAUUUGAAUACUUUGCGGAUUUUUGCAUAAUAUUAAUCGAAGAGAAUUUGUUAAAUUUAGCCGGACAUAAAUUUUUCUAAAUUCAAAUACUUUGCAGAUUUUCGAAUGCAAAUUUUUUCAUACGAUCUCGGUUGAAUACAAACUUUAUAUCAAAGUUGUAUAUUUAGAUUAUAUAUAAAACUUUGUAGUUGACCUCCUUUUCAUUUAAAAUUUUUUAAUAGCUCAAAACAUUAUUCUAAGCUUUCUAAUUUCAAAAUCUUGAAUUUUAAAUUUUUCAAACGACCUCGGAUGCAAACUAGCUCUAUAUCAAAGUGGUAGUGCUUAAUGAGAUAUAAAAUUUUGUAGUUGACAAGUUUUUCAGUUGAAAAUAUUUAGUUAUCACAAACAUACAAGUUCUUCAUUUGAUGUCGAGGAUUGGAAGUGUUGAGUUUGAAGAAUAUAUUCUUUGAUUACAAACUUUUCCAUAUGAUCUUGGAUGAAUACGAACUUUAUUUCAAAGUUGCAAAUUUAGAUUAGACCAAAAACAGUAUAGUUUACAAUUUUUUCAUUCAAAAUUAUUUAGUAGCUCAAAAUGUUAUUCUAAACUCUCUAAUUUUGAAAUCUUGAAUUUUAAAAUUUUCAAAUGACCUCGGAUGCAAACAAGCUCUAUAUCGAAGUGGUAGUUCUUAAUGAGAUAUAAAAUUUUGUAGUUCCAUCUGAGAUCAUUUAACAGUCACAAAUAUACAAGUUUUUCAUAUGAUGCUAAGGAUCAGAAAGAUUAAGUUUGAAGGCUGUAUUUUUUUAAUACAAAUUUUUGCAUACGAUCUCGGAUGAAUACAAAUUUUAUAUCAAAAUUGUAGAGCUCGAUGAGAAUUUAAACUUUGUAGUUGAUAUAUUUUUCAUUCGAGAAUGUUUAGUGGUCCAAACAUGUAUUAUAAGUUCAGAGAAGAAACACACAAUCGGCCACGUCAUCAAUUGACAACUUCCAAAUUGAGCAUUCCUAUUGGUUCACACCUUUCCCUUUCAACUCGUCAAGCUUAUCUCCUCCCACUCCUCCAUCGUUCACUCCCCCUUCCCCUUCCUCUCUCCCUCCCUCCCUCCGCUCCAGCAGUGGCAGCCCGACCUGCCUCCUAGGACGGUGGUGUGCGGGGCUCGGGCAUCCCUGGCCUCUAGUGGCGUGGCAGGGCGGCCUCCAGCAGCGAUGGCGGAACUCGGCCUCCGGUGGCGCACAGGCAGCGCAGCCUACCUGGUCAAAGGCGGCGCAACAGGGCGACCUCCCCAGCCUCCGGUGGCGCGCAGGGCCUCCAUGACCUCCCCGGCCUCCCUUGCCAGAGGUGGUGCGCGGGGCUGCGCCGACCUCCCCAACCAGAGGUGGCAAGGCCCCAGCUUACGGCGGCGCGUGGCUCCCCAGCUAGGGUGUGGUGGGGCGGCGGCAAGUCAGGCGUGGCCACGUGGGGGUGGGGGGAGGGGGUUGGGCUGGGCGGAUUCAGAUAGUAUCCAUUUAACCAUCCGAAAUGUGGAUAUCCGUUUAACAAUCCGUUUAGCAAAACCGAAUUUGGAUACUUCCACUUAAGUAUCCAACUAGGAUUCGAAUGCGGAUGGUCCUACCAUAUUGUUAUUUCAGCGGAUACGAAUAUGGGAUAAUUCGAAUAACGACUUACCCAUCCCUGAUUAUAUCCGUGUAAAUAAAUAAUUGCGGCAGCAGGUUCCCGUCGCCACGCCCCCGUCAAACCAAACAAUUGCUUGCGCGACACCGUGUUACUAGAUCUUGUACAGUACUCCCUCCGUUGCAGUACUCCCUAAUGAAAGUUGAGAAUCGAUCGACAACCACGGCUAGUUGCUAUGCACUCGAUCAGAUGGUCCAGGCGCCCGCUGGUAAUCAGGUCGUGGUUCACGCGCAUCAGGCCAGCUAUGACGUUGCCAGCAGUGCUCAGUACACAAAUCUAGCUAUCAGUCGGAUCCAAUUGGGCAGGCAUUUGCACUGUGGUUGUGUUUGAACCUGGAGAUGUCGUUGUCAUUAUCAGGCACCAUACAUCCUCUCUCAGAGGGUGUUUCACCCCCUAAACUUUAGCCCCUCUCACAUCGAAUGUUUUAGAUACUAAUUAGGAAUAUUAAACAUAGAAUAUUUACUAAACCCAUUACAUGGAUGGAGGGUAAACGACGAGACAAAUCUAUUAAAUCUAAUUAGUCCAUGAUUUGACAAUGUGCUGCUAUAGUAACUAUUUGCUAAUGAUGGAUUAAUUAGACUUAAUAGAUUUUUCUUGCCGUUUAGCCUCCGUCUGUGCAAUUAGUUUUAUAAUUAAUUCAUAUUUAGUCCUCCUAAUUAGUCUCCGAAUAUUUGAUGUGACACCGACUAAACUUUAGAUAGCACACCAGGGACCGACACCAUGCAUGCUGAUUUCAUAUCAUAAUUAAGGAAAGUGAUAUCAUAAUUAAGGAAAGUGGUAGCAUCCAAGAAAUCGAUCAUGUUUCUUCCCCCUUUGGCUUUCCUACUAGGAUUUGGAUAGCGGGCCUUCCUACUAGGAUUUGGAAUCCGCUAUCGCAUGACUAUCUUAAUUAUGUCCCAUAGUCCAAAACUCACAAAACAUCAAAAAUCCACCGAGAAUAAAUUAAGUAAAAAACAUGCGCACACAGAUAAUAAUAAUAAUCAUGUUUCAAUAAAAUUGCUAAGAUUAGAGAUAGUACAUAAACAUAUUAGAUUGUUCGUGACACAUAUCAUGGUGGAUAGUGUCUGUGUCCUUAUUACAAGCAGCGAUAGAUGCUUGUCACCACACACACGCACGCACAGAUGCACGACAUACAUAUAGUUGAGACCAACGGAUGGAUGUCCCAUAGGGUGAAUAAUUUAUUGGAGAUAAAUAUUAACAUAACUUGGCCAUAGCUUGAAGCAUAGCAACAUAUGCUUAUGAAUGGCAUUCAUGCGGGUAGCAAUGCUAUCAUAUGCUUUUAGGCUUGUCCUUAGCUUCUUCCAUCUUAUAGCAAACACUGCCAUUUCUUCCAUUUUAGCAGCAACUGUCAAAUUAAUUGAGAUAUGGAAAUCCCAUUAGCGCAUGAGUUAAUUUUGCAGUGGAAAUAGAGUAGAAGAUGUCUUCAUAAUGUAAGUAAUAUGACUCUGACAUAGGGAGUGAAGUCAACAAAUUACAUUAACGGAAAUGCAUGGAAGGCCACGCAUAUGUAUUAGUCCGAUAUGCUACAAAGCUUGUAUGUACAUAUAAUAAAUUAAAUGCAUUGAAUAGAGUGAUUUUAGUGAAUUUACCUAAAUCGGAUUAAAAAACAUGGGAAACAACAAGUGUUCUUGUAGGGCUUUGUUUAGUUCCCAAAUUGGGAGUAGCAAAGUUUGCAUUUUACCAUAAAUGCGCAACUGUAGCAUGUAGCAUUUCGUUUGUAUUUGUGAAUUAUUAUCCAAACAUUGACUAAUUAGGCUCAAAAGAUUCAUCUCGCAAAGUACAACAAAACUGUGCAAUUAGUUUUUGAUUUCGUCUACAUUUAGUACUCCGUGCAUGUACCGCAAGUUUGAUGUGAUGGGAAAUCUUGCUUUUCAAUAGUGACAAAGUUGGGAUUUCGGGGGGAAGGCCUGUGUCGGAGCCACAUGCAAGAAUGGCUGACAUUGAGGCUCAGACAAAGCCCAAUGGCAACUGCUGACAUGCGAUUAAAUUUAGAUAUCCACAUCCAGCCAUUCACAUUUAUGAGAUAUGGACACGGUGCAAAUGGGUGGGGUCCUGAUAUGGAGGUGCGAAUGGCUGUCUACUUGUAUAGUGUAGCUCCAAUGUACGUAUAUGUAUCUUAUGCAUGUAUACAGUUGCACAAACUCUGAACCAACUCUUCAUAACAGGUCUUUGUUACCAAGUAACUUUACUUUUGCACGUUUCAGCCGAGAGGUAGAAGAGAAUAUUUUUGCAUUUUCCAUGUGCGUCAGUGGUAGAGAACUAGGAAUUAGUUCCGGAUGGUAGGGCACAAAUCUUCCAAACAACUAUCCGAAAUUAAGCAAUCGAGAUAAAGGGUGCCAUCUAUUCUCUCCGAAAAACACAGGUACCAAAAAGAAGAAGAGAAGAGGGAGGGCCUCCCGUUAAGGCCCGCUCGGGGUCUCCAUCCCACCACGCGCCCUCCCAACCCAAAGCCCAUCGUUUUCCCUCCGUCCCUCCCCUCUCCAUUGCCGCCGCUGCUCCCCUCAUCCGAGCUCGAUACGGGUGGUCGGCGGCCCCUCCUCUCCGCUCCCGCCCCCGGCCUCCCUUUGACCGCCGGGCGCCGGCAUCACUGCCGCGGCCAACCCCAGGGCGCAGCGCGUGCCUCUAUUUCUCUCCCCCGUUCAAGGGCCCUUUGAUGGCGACGAGCACCCACCCACCAGGUAUGCCCUCCCCUUCUCUUCCUAACCCUAAUAUAUUCGGAUCUCACCCAGUCACAAUAUAUUACCUAAUAGCUUCGAUUUUGUUUGCAAAAAUCAUCACGUGCGCACCCAUGUCCGCUAGAUUCUUGCGCCUGAUCCUGUGCUGCUAUGGUUUGGGCGGGGUAGACUAGUUGAUUCGUGCACUUUUGGGUGCUUGUAGUGCUAGGUUUUGGAGGGGGAUAGCCCAGUUGAUUCCUCCGUUUUGGGUGCUCAUGGUGAUAGGAUUUGGAUGGGGAUAGCCCCAAUGAUUCGUGCGCCUUUGGGUGCUGGGGAUAGUUUUGGGUGCCUGGAUAGUCCAGUUUCAAUGUCAGUAUAUGCGUAUUUUGGGGAGAAUUUUGUUUUGGGUGGUUCUGGUGCUAGAGUUUCUGAUGCUUAGUAGCCCAGUUUCAAUCAAAUUCCCCCAUGGGUCGUGCACUACGGGAAACAAGAAAAUUGCCGAGUGUAUUUUUUUUGCCGAGUGUUUUUUUUCCGAGCACUCAGCAAACAAGCUUCGCCGAGCGCCAAGUCAAAAACCCUCGGCAAAAAAAAAACACUCGGCAAAUCGGGGCUUUGCCGAGUGUCAAAUAAAAACACUCAGCAAAGAAGGGGGUUUGCCGAGUGUUAAAAAAAACACUCGGCAAACAGGAGGGUUUGCCUAGUGUUUUUUUGACACUCGGCAAAAAAAUAAUUGUUUUUCCUCUUUUCACCUUGAAAUUUUUUCUACUCCCCACAUACAACACGUGGUACUCCAUGUUAAAAUUUGGUAUAUUUUUGGAUUUAUUUGCUAUAUUUAUUUAAUUAAUUGCAUUUCAAGGAAAUUUUUGGUAUAAGUCAAAUUUGAACUGCAAGUGAUUCAAAUUGUGGAACAAAAUGAGUAGAAAAAUGAUAUUCAUGUUAUUUGGCUCAAUUUGAGAUCUGACCCAUGAAAUGAAAAGAAGUUUCGAACAUCUUGUUCAGGAAACACGACAAUGAACAUGUGGCGGUAGUAUUUUUAAAUUGUAAAAAAACAAGCAAAGUCUGAAAAUCAUGAGAUUUGUAGUUAUGUGAUGAUAUAAUACGUGGAAGCUGUGGAAAAAAAUUGGAAAGGUUUUGCACAUUUCAUCAUGUACGAUGAUUACAAACCGAAGCAUAUCAGAAGAAGAAUAGUAACUUUGAGAAGGAUUCGAUAAAAUUUAGAGUCGAAGUGACGGUCGAGUUCGGUUUGACUACAAAACUUUUUGUAUAGUCAGUAGAGAACAUAUCUUAUUUCGUGUGAAAAUUUGGUAUUUUUUGAAACUGUUGGAUAUUUUUAAUUUUUUUUUUAAAAAACUUGCCGAGUGUUUUCUCGGCACUCGGCAAAGACUUUGCCGAGUGCCCGACACAAAACACUCGGCAACUCAGUGUUUGCCGACUGAAAAAUUGCCGUGUGCCGUUUGCCGAGUGUUACACUCGGCAAACGGUUCGCCGAGGGUUUUUUGCCCUUCGCCGAGUGCCCCUAGCACUCGGCAAUUUCACUAUCUCCCGUAGUGGUGGCUGGACUUAUGGGGGGAUCAUUGAUGGGGGACUAGUUGGAUACUUUUUGGCUGUUUUGGGAGUCCUUGGCAGCGGCUUCUCAGGGCGUACGUAGCCCAUUGUAGAUUCCAGCCGAGAAGAUUAAGGAAUUGUGACUGCAACCAUGUUACUUUUCUAGGACUCUGUUUCUGAUAUUGUUCCCGCUGCAUCUUUUCAUCCCCAUGGUGAAUGUUGCUGUUGAUCUGUAGAUUGGAUUUGUUCCUCGGUAGCUUUAUUAGAUUUGUGCUGAAUGAUAAUCUCUGCCUGUGAUAUUUUUCUUCAUUGCGGAUGUGUGCCGAGUAUAUCCCCUUUGUUCAUUCUGUUGGCUUUUUUUAUUGUCUCUGUACUCGGCUGUUCAGCUUGUGCAGCUAAUGAUCUAAUGUAUUUUGUGGUAACUAUGUAUUUUUCGGAUGUGUGCCGAGUAUUAUCCCCUUUGUUUAUUCUGUUGGCUUGCUUUCAUUGAUCUUAAGAUAACUGGUGCUAUAAAUUCACACUAGCUGAUGCACUUGCAAAUAGCUAUGUAAAUAUGAAAAGAAGUAUUUUUUUAUCCUUUUGUUUGUUUGGCAUCAUAUCUGUUUAAAUGGCAUAGCAAUAAGAAUUUUUUGUUUUUGGGGAAUCAUAUCUGCUUAAAUGGUAUAGAAAAUGCUGAGUGCACUGUCAAAUAGAUUUUCCAGCAGUCUGCUUUCAGUUGUUUUUGCAAAUCCUCACAGGCCAGUGAACUGACUUUGUUUUUACCACCCCAUGCCAUCUAAAUGACUAAAUCAGUCAGCCUAAUACUAUAUAUGGUCAUGCUAUGAUCUUAUUUCUUGAAGCUCUAUAGGUCAACCCAUAAGGGUAACUUAGUUUUUCCUAUUCUGGCUGGGGAAGUGGAUACGAUGGCUAUCCUUGGUAGAGUUAAAUACAUUGGCGGCUCUUAGCGCGCCAAUGUGGCACCACAAUAUCGAACAUAUGUAGAAACCCCCUUGUUUUUUCUCAUAUCCCUCUCUCUCAGCGUCCUCUUCUCUUCUUCUCCUCUGUCUCCUCCCCUCCCAUCGCGUGCUUUAUUGCGCCGCCGCCAUCCGCCUCCAUGUAUGAACACGUCGUUUGUCAUGAAGAAGCAGUUGAUGAGGCAAUCAAGCAUGUGGUGCACAAGGUUCUUCUGCUGGCCAAGUCCGAGUCGAACAGCCGCGCAUUCAUUGGGGAAGCACGCGCCAGGCAUCACCAGGCUCCUCGUGCCCCUACUCUGCUCCAAGGACUCGGUGCUUCGACGCGCUGCUUUCCCUGUCCGGCGAGCGGGGAUCGUUGGGAGAUGAUCGAUGGAGGAUGGAGCUGAUCCUCCUGUACACGGUGCCGGUGGGGAGCAGGGAGCUGCGGAGCAGGUCCACGGGCGGCGCCAUUACAGCAGGUGCAGGCUAAGGGUAAUGAGCAGAUCGAGGCGAUGGAGGAGGACCCGCACGAGGUGCAGCUUCUUCGCCUCCUGCGCAAGGUCAGCGCCCAAGCAGCCGCUGAGGGACAGGCCGAGGCUUAGCUCGAUCUCAUCCGACUAAAUGGUGGCUGCACUCCCACAGUCCCACUGGUGCUCCUCCCUUCUGUCCGAACCUGCCGAGGAAAUCCCUCGAUGCCAUGGGUCCCGGCUGGACGACUACUCCUCCCACAGAUUGACUGAGGAAGAAGAGCUUCUCAGUGUCCAAAAAUUCAGUUACACUGGAAACAGCAACCAAUUACGUCCUUCCGGCUCAGCCAAGCCCCAAUCUCCUUGCUUCUGUGCGCCCCUGCUAAAUAUUCCAGAAACCAAUCUGGUUAGUUGUUUUUUCACAUUUUCAGUGCAUGCCGGUGCUGCUGUGUGCGGCAUGCAUGGAGUUGUCGUGGGAGUGCACGGUGGCUUAGCUGGUGCGCCAGUGCGCGGGCACGAACACAACGGUGAAGAUGGCAGGGCCAUCUCAAAGCUCCUGAGCACCUGCACGCGUCGCUGAGCAGGACAUGCUGCGACGGUGGGCGAGCGCUGCUAACGCCCUGGGGAAGAGCAGUGGGUGCAGAGAGAGGGAGCGAGGGAGAGGGGUUCUUGUAUAUGUUUGCUAGCGUGGCACCGUUUACGGUGCCCGCCUAAGUGGCAUUCACGUGUCAUUCAUCCCAAAUGGUGUUGCAAGGUUGAACCUAUUGUGGGAGGCUUUUGGUUUCCCUUGACCAAGUAUCACCAGUGAUAUCACUGCGUUCUGGUUAUGUACGAAACACUUGUCCUUUUAAAACCUUUCUGAAUUUAGAAACGAAUUUGAAACAUUACCCUCAUUUCCAUGUUUUUCUAUCUUUUGUCCCUGUAAAAUCAAACUAAAUUUGAAUUAUUAUGUUCAGAACUACAAGCUGAUUUACUUGUCCCAUUUGCUAAUAACAGGGCCUUGUGAUUUCUAAUGAACAUUGCAGAGCAUGUUAUAAAGCGUAUGCAUGAACACCAAGGGGAUGAAACCAUUGGUAUAUUUCUCAUAACCUUUUGAACUUAUCAUUUAGCAUAUUUGUGUUCUAGUGUGACGUUUCAGCCACGAGACAUGAGAAAUGUUAGCUAUGGAUUUUGGUUAUUCAUCAUGGGUUCACAGAUUUGUUUUUCUCUAAAAGAAUUGGGAAGUAGCUUUCUUUCUGGGUAUAUGUGGGGAAAUGCAUAUGCAAUCUUUUAUUUAUUGAGGUGACUGUAAAAUUCUUGUCUGACUGAAUAUGCGAUUUCAACCUACAUGCUAUACUUAGGGAAAUUUGUGAAUCUCCUAAUGUCUGCUGCAUGGCAUGAAUGCAUAUUUUACUGGUCCAUAAUGUGAAGUUCUGUAUAUAAACUUCUCGUGUUGACCCUUUAGAACAUGCUAACUGGAGAGUUUUCUAGAGUAGUUAAACAAGAGAUUUAGUUAAAUCUGCACACAUAGGUGGGGCCUGGCAUACCCUAAGAAUCGGCCUAGCCGGCCAGCCCAUUAGUAAAAAAAAAAGCACCGCAGUCAGCAGUCCCCACGUUGGUCUUCCUCGAGUCGCGACUCGCGAAGAUCCCAUCCUCCGAGUCCAAGAUGGUGGACUGUGUCGAGCGCGGGGCGGGCGAUUAGUUGCCCGGCCGCCGGCGGGGGAUGGCCGGACGGCCAGAUCGCCGACUCCUCUAGUCCUCCCUCCAGCCUCUGCGCUUCUUUCACAGUGGAGCUAGCGGCGAGGCGCCCGACCGACACCCUUCUUCCCAAAUCCCGGCAGCCCUGCCUCGAUUUGGCCUCCUCCGAUCAUUUGAUAAUCAAUUUGAUGAAAUUAAUAUGGAGUUGCUUUCUUGUAUGGUUGCCUUCAAUCCUGCUAAUUCAUUUGCUUCAUUUGAUGCACAAAAGAUACACAGACUUGCUAUAUUUUUAUCCACAAGACAUCACAAGCACGGAUUUGCUAAAACUUGAAUUCCAGCUCGAUAUUAUAUUGAUGAUGUGAGAUAGGAUGAUAGUUUCAAAGGCCUACAAGAUCUUGUUAACUGAGACUCAGUUAAGCUUGUUGAAACAAACAGGCAUAAUAUUUAUGACUUGGUUUACUUGCUUCUCAAAUUGGUAUUGGUUCUUCCUGUGGCGACAGCUAGUGUUGAAAGGGAUUUUUGUGCAAUGACUUUGAUCAAGAGUAAGCUAAGAAAUAAGAUGGGUGAUAGUCUUUUGGAUGAUUGUCUUAUCACAUUCAUUGAGAAAGAUAUUUUCUUUGAAGUGGAUGAAGAAGAUAUAAUUAAGACUUCAUAUCCAUUAGAAAUCAUAGGCUGGAGAAGAAGUAAUAUUUUAAUUUUCUUUGAACGUUAGGUCUGUAAGCUUCUUUUAAACUAUCUACAUUAUAAUUUAUGGACCUUUUAAUUUAACCGUUGAAUUCAUGAUAUUAUGAGAUUUUUUUAUCUAUGUUAUUAUUGUUUACCGAUUUAUUACCAAAUUAUUAGUUUGAUCUUACAAUAUUGUAUUUUGGAUGAUUGGCUCGGCAUACUCUAAGUUUAAAUCCUAGCUCCGCCACUGUUUGCACAUUAAUGUGGCUUAUAUGUGUGGAGUCACUUAACCUAUGCACUUGGACCUCCACUCCCUUAGGUUUUAUGAACCUAAUUUGACAGCCUGCUCGUCUUUUAUUUUCUACCAAUCAGCUAGGAACGAACAUGGUGAUGUUUGCAUCUCUUGCAUCAAUGGCUUACAUGUCAUUAUGUAUCACAUUAGCAAGUCUUGUUUUGUUAUUGGCUGGGAUGACGGGGACUCUAGCUGGAAUUGAAUCAAAGUGGUAGAUCACAGGGUAUUCAUUGCCAUGUAUUUCUGCAGUUGCAUGGACUUGCAUCAAACGGACCUUCCUACUUAUGUGAUUGUCCUAUAUGAUCUCCUUUGAUUUCAUUUGCACACUGUAAUCACAUUAGCUAGAACACUCGCUUUUUGCUUCAAAUUUGAAAUUCAUAUCAUGAUGGACUAGAACGCUGAAUUUCUUGAUUGCUGAGUUACUAAUCACAUUGUGGCGCUGCCAAAGAAGCUGGACUCUUCAUUGUUGUUGCCUUGUGGGCUGCCGUGUGCAAAGAACAAGAGCGCACGGUAUUAUAAUAGCAGAGCUGAACACAGACAAGCGACAAGGAGCGGAGCAGAGCAGAGCACAGCCAAGCACAAGCAGUAGAGUAGAGCAGAGCAACCGGGAGAGGAGAGGGCACAUAUGCAGAGUAGAGCAGAGCCAAGCGCAAGCAUUCAUGCACUCAAGCAUGCAGCAGAGGUGUAGCAAGGCAAGCACAAGCAGCAGAGCAGAGGGAAGGGAAGGCUGGGAGAUGAAUAGGCGAAUAGUUACCUGGACAGAGCAGAGGGAAUGGAGAUGAUGCAGAUGCUUCCGGAGACUGGAGAUUUGGAGAGGAACAAGGCCACGUUGUGAACAAGGUCUCCUUUCUCUUCUCUAUUUCCCGCGCAAGUACUUGUGCAUAGUGGCUGCCUCAUCCUCCAGGACGCCCACUUCAACCUGAGGCGGGUGCCACAGACAUCCUGGCUAUGCGACGGCUACCCCCAGCACACCCCCAGCGCCUAUGAACCAUGAUCCUAAUACUAUAAAUUGUCAACCUUGUAAUCUUAUUUCAAGCAUGCUUUCUAUGUCAACCUGUAAGGUUAAUUUCGUUUUUCCUUUUCUGGGUAGGGGAGUGGAUAUUGCUGUUAUUUAUAUUAUGUUGAUAUUGGUUUCCACAUGUCAUUCACCCCAAAUGUGUUGCAAGGUUGAACCUAUCAUCGGAGGAAUUUUUUUCCCUUUACCUUUAUAUCACUACGCUCUGGUUAUGUAUGAAACACUUGUCUUCUUAAAAACCUUAAUUUAGAAACAAAUUUGAAACACUAUCUUCAUUUACAUCCUGUAUGUGUUUUCUACCUUUUGUCCUAUAUGAUCUGCUUUGAUUUGAUUUGUGCAUAGUUUUUUCAAUUCAGACCUGGUGAUCUCUGAGGUUCAUGUUGUGCUGAUAAGCAGCCUACUAUUCAGUAACACUUUCAUGUGGCAUGUUCAUGUUAGCUAGCUAGAAACACUGCUUUUAGCUUCAAAAUUCAAAUUCAUGACAUGAUGGACAUUGACAAUGAAUUUCUUGAUUGCCGAGCUAUGUACACUGUAAUUCAGACCUGGUGCUUUUAGUUUUUUUCUUGAUUGCCGAGCUAGAAACACUGUGCUUUUAGUUUUUUCAAUUCAGACCUGGUGAUUUCGGUUUUUUCAAUUCAGACCUGGUGAUUUCUGAGGUUCACGUGUCACACCGAUUUUAAGAACAAAAUCGAGUGCAUUAAAUAUACAUGUACGCUAGGAUCAGGUUACACACAUGUACGACAUAAGCGAAUAUCAAAGACAAUGCCAUAACGAAAUAAAGAGAGUAUUAAUCAUUAUUACAUGACCGAAAGUCUCAAAUAAACCACAAAAUCUAUUUAUUACAUAGCGGAACUCCUAAGAUAGCAACGUCUCCACAGGCAGCUGACUGAAGAACUGUAUGCCUAGAACUCUUCAAAAUCGUGCAGGUACUCCUCCAGAUUAGCUUGGUAUGAACAACGGUUUUGCAAGGGUGAGUACACUUAUGGUUGGUACUUAAUAAGUCGUGGGAAACAAUGUAGUGUAAGGCAAAUCAAGGUAUGGCUAAGGCUUAAACAGCAUCAGCUUUUAAUUUAGUUGGUCAAAUUUUAUUAGCAAUUAAUUAGACGUAAAUUUAUACCACCCGAAAUUAAACAAGAACAUGAAUAAAAUAAUAACAUAACCAUAAAUGAAAUGACAACAAUUUAAAUCCAUCUUUUCAUAGCAUUAUCAUGUGAGGGUCCAGUCCGCUCUUAACCGUGAGCACCGCUGAUCGAUCAGUUUUACACUCUGCAGAGGUUGUACAUCUUUACCCACAAGUCGCGUAAAAGUUCAAAAGAAUUUUGGACCCAACCAUGCGGUGUUUGCAAGGCACCAUACCACACUUCCAAGGUGUGAUUGCAUAUGAACGCUACGAGGCCUUUACAAAGAUUCAUUAGUAAGUGGUAACCCGCUAAAGUUUCGGUAUUUGGCGUGCACAACCUAUCACAGGCCGCUAAUGCAACGACUCAGUCCCCCCUCUUGCCUCAUCACGAGUAAGAUUACCCCAGACUAAGGUUUCUAAUUAUUCAGCCAAGAUCAGAACCAUUUAGUCUUGUGGUAGCACUGUUUUCUUGGGUGGUUCUCCAUGUUCCGAUUAAACAUAAUGGUCUUGUAUUAAUGGAAGGUAUAACAUAAAUAAUACCAAAUUAAUAAUAAUUCAGAUUAAAUCACCAUAACCAUAUUUGAGCACUAAGCAUGAGCUACCCAACAUAAAUUUAACCCGGUUGGUCAAGGCAAGGUAGAUAAAGUCUAGGAAAUUCUUAAUUGGGACCCAUCAAGUUUAAAUUAUACUUUGCAUGGUAUUGUUGCAUAGAACAUGAAAGUAAAUGUGAAUAGGACUGAAAAGGAGUGAUUAGGGACACGACUUGCCUUUUUAACCUUGUUCUUGCUGUUCGUACUCCUCGAAAACUUUGAUCUUCAAAUCCCUCGAACUGCUGACCGUCUACACGCGUCACACGACCACAUACAAGCAAACAAAUAUAAUACAUAAGAAAACAGUACACCAAUCAUAAUUAAAUAGAAGAAACAAAUUUGAAAAGCUAUUCUACGCAUUAAAACGAAAACACGGAUACAAGGAACGUUAAAAACGGAGCUACAGUGCAAAAACUACGCUUAAAACAAGAUGCAGGGGUAUAACUACGAGAAACCAAACUUCCAGGGAUUUAAUUUUAAAUAAUUUUGAACUGCAGAAGGGGCAGCAGGGAAAAACGUAGAAAAUGCAGGGGCUUAAGCGCAAAAGCAUGGCUGCUGACUCAGCUGACUUGAUGUGGAUCGUCGGAUGGCGAUCCGGCGGCCGGCAGCUGCUGCGCUGACGUCAGCGACGGCGAGCGCCGGCGAAAAACGGCAGUUCGCCGGAAUCGCCCGGGAACGCGCGACUGGGUGCAGAUUUGAGCGAGGAUUAGACUAGCAGAUAGAAACGAGCGCAGUGAACUCAUUUGGGAUGCCUACGGCGAGGACUUGGCGACGGCAUCGGCUCCGGCGAGAACUUGCGGCAGGGAAACCAAAUAAAAUAAAAUAACACGGUUCAGAGAAGCGGCGCUGGAGGAACGCGAGCGAUUUUGCGUGCGAGCGGAAGAAAACACUGCGAGGAAGAUGACUGCGGGCCCUGCUUGUCUGCGGCAGGAGGAGAGCUGCGUGCGAGAAGAACCUGGCCACGAUCUGGGCCGUUGCCUUCGAUCUGGGCCGAGGCAAGCUAGCUGGCCCGCUGCUGCGGAAAGGUGCUGGGCCACGGGCGGAGCACAGCGUCGGGCCAGAAAGGAGAUGGCUGCUGCGAGGAAACAAAAGAAAAUGAACUGGGCUGCGACAGAGGAAAACUGGGCGUCGGCCAGAAAGAAGCUGCGUGCAGCUUGCUCUUGUUUCCGAACUAGAAACAGGAACUGACGGAAAGACAGAAAUCAAUUGGAGACUGAAACUGACGCCCCAGACUCUGAACUUCGAAAAAACAGGACAACCAGCCAACUGACAGAAAAAAAAAAAGCUUAACAACCCAAAAGCAGUACACAACCACGAAACCAGGCCACAAGACUGAAAAAGCUUGAUAGGAACAUCUGGCGACUGAACCAAAAAACUACAGAACUGCAACUGAAGAACUAGAGAACAGAUAAAUAACUGAUUGAACUCUGAAACUGAAACACCAAAGAGCAGGAAGCUGACUGACGGAAAAUGCAAAACAGCAACCCAAGGUGAAACACAAAUCCUUCUUCAAGCAUUCAAACAAAGAGAUAUGCAACAGCAUGAAUGCUCAAUAAAAUCCUAUAUUUCAUUAAUUAAUUAGAAAAAAUGCUCAAAUGCCUAGAAAAAUGCAAAAGUGACCUUAUAUACCUUAAACAAGCAAAUUCGUUUCUAGCGAUUUUUGGUAAAAUGCAAAAUUAGAGAUUUUGGGUGUUACAUCAUGUUGUGCUGAUAAGCAGCCUACUAUUCAGUAACACUUUCAUGUGGCAUGUUCAUGUUAGCUAGCUAGAAACACUGUGCUUUUAGCUUCAAAAUUAAAUUCAUGACAUGAUGGACAUUGACAAUGAAUUUCUUGAUUGCCGAGCUAUGUACACUGUAAUCACAUUGUGGGGCUGAUAAAAUAAGCAGCGUUGAGACACAUAACAAUUGAAUCUUAAGCUUCACACAGAAUCUGGACCAGUCAUCCUCAUUCCUGUCAUGCUGGAAAUGUCUUUGAUACAUUUCAAUCACAGGCAAUUGAAUUCGUACUGGGGAGGAUGGCAAUGGUGCGUGAAGAGAGAUCAAUGUGGCAAAUCUCACAUUGUUCAUUACCAGGUAUCUCCGAUUUCUGGUUAUUUUAAAUUUACCUUGACAUGUGACUUAUUGAGGUAUUGUAUUUCAUCUAAUGGUAGUUCUGAAUUUAUGGUAACCUUGGAUGGGGUUUGUCACUUUAUACACGCACGGACUUACAAAGGACAGCAAAUGAGUAUAUUUAGAGGGCUCCUGUCCAACCAUGGACUAUACUUAUGUACCCUUUUUUGACAUGGUAAUUUGAGGUUAAUGGAAAAGUAGCGAUAGUCGCCUCCAGCGAAGCUACCUUCUUCGAAAGCUCCGAGGCUGCUUUCUCGCUCUUAGCAAGCCGAUCCCUCGUAAUCAUCGAAGAGUAAGAGACCUACAGAUUUUAAAAACCAAGUUACCAAAAAUAACGAAGUAAAAGACAACACUCGCAAGACAAACCACCAAACUAUCUCAUAAUUGUACCUUCUUUACGAGGUUCGCCUCCAAGUUAAAGAGCUCUUCCAAGAUCAUUGACUUCACAGCUUGCUGAAAAUCUAUGCGCCAAAGGAUAUAGUCGUAAGCAUAAAAUAAAAAUUGGUAAAAACCAAGGACAGCAAAGCCAUCUACAAGCUGUUCUUACCCUCAUACUUUCGCACCUCAACGGCGAUCGGAACAACCUUCUCUCUAGCCUCGCCCUUAGACGCCACCACAAUCUUCCCGCCACACAAAUCCACAACCUGUCCUUUACCUUUGCCCUCUCCCGAAGUCGUCGUGCCCGCCUUCUCCACCCUUUUUGAACCGCCAACAUCUGCAUAGCGCUCGCAACCUUCACCUUCAGCCCCCCAGACCAAAGACAGGUUGUGAGGAUUAUAAACCCUACCUUCGGCGCAUGUAGCUAGAAUCUCCGUGCGCCCGCUCAAGCCCAGACACUCAUUCAGUCCCUGAAGCCCCGCCGGCAACCUCUCACCUACAUCAUAACAUUCAACUUUUAGCCUCACAUGAUCCUCACAACUAACCUUACCAACGCCCCCCAUAGUUUCUUCCAAGUCCUUCAAAAAUUUUGUUGAGGCCUCACCACAAUCAAAGAACCGUAGCAUCGAUAGAAACACCUCUACAUGCUUACCAGAUCUCACAGCUUCGGCACACCCACCCUUUGGAUCGGAUGAGAACGCAUCCACAAGCUUCGCCUUUUCAGUGGCAAACCCCCUCUCAAGUUUCCCAACAUCAGUCAAGAGAUGUUGCGCGCUCUUAAACUUCGAGCUUAUGGAAGGCACCGUGAUCUUGGUACCAGCUGCCGAAGACGCGUCAACCUUGGCACCCGUAACAGUAACAGGAGCAAAUCGAGGUUUCUUGGCGCCUCUUUUGAUCCGCGCAGCGGGCCCGGUGGAUGAAGGUGCAAGAGCUGGAACCUCCUUAGGAGGGCGCAUAGAGACAGGAACAACAUGUGCCGGAUUGCUCAAGUCGCCAGACGAAGCUGUCGACCACGAUGGCAACAUAGCAGACGAAGCCCCCGCGGUCAUUUCCUUCCUUUUUUGCGCCUCCAAAUUCAAGGUCUUUUGCUUCGCCUUAGCGGUCACUUGCAAUUCAAUAGUGAGCUUCACCACGGGUACGAAGUCAAAUUUUGCCUUUUUCCUCUGCUCAAGACUAGCACCGCGACGGCGCCUCUUGCCCGUAACUUUGGGGUGAGGCAGAACCACAAUAUCAUACAAGUCAAAAAUCUGAGAUGAUGACAUUCCAUUUGUAUCCAUGAUUUAUAUUGUGUUCCUUGAAUAUCCAUUAAAGUCUACUUGAAUUGAUUUGCAAUUAUGUGAAUUGUAUGUGAAACUCUUUCCUUGUAUGGUUAUUCUAAAGUUGUCCCUAGUCGGAGUUCAUGUGAGGACACAUGAAUAUUAGACUAGCACAUGUAUUAGAUGAUGACUAUGUUUCACAAGUCAUGGACAUGAAGAUGUGGAACUAAUAAUGUGGGCACAUGUGGAGACACGUGCUAGGACUGACCCAACACGAGAAGUAGUUCUCUCUUUAUACAACAUAUACGCUUUGUCCUUAGACCUGAGAUUGUCGCAUGUACUCAAGAUGUGGAUUGACUUACUUAGGGGCUAUCAAAUUCUACGCCGUAACAGGGUAGUUAUAAAGGUAGCUUUCGGGUUUGUCAAGAAGCAUGCUAUGAGACAUGGUCAAUCAAGAUGGGAUUUGCCCCUCUCUGAUUGAGAGUGAUAUCUCUGGGCCCCUCGAGUGAUCGGAUCCGAAAAUGCAUGGCCAUGCUACAUACGGUUAAGAGUUAGCCUACAAAGGGAUUCCGAAUCAUAGGAUCGAGAAAGAGCGGUCGGCUUGAAGCUAGACCAAAUAUCGUGAGGCAAAGGGAAUAGCAUGUAUAUAAUGUUGUGAUGGUUCGUCUGAUAUGAUCUUCGUGUGCGUAUAGGAGUUGGCACGUCUUGCUAGAGGUCGCUACCGACUAUUGGGCCGAGUAGGAGUACUCAGGCCAUGUCUAUACGUAUCCGAACCCAUAGGGUCACACACUUAAGGGGCUGGAAGCCCAAUUCGGAUGUGAUCCGAAUUGGAUUAGGUUUAGAAGUACUAAUGGGCCUUGGACCCAGAGGUCCGUUAGGAACCUCUAUAAAUAGAGGGGUGGGGGCGCCCUAGGGUUUACACCUUUUUGGUGAAACACAUCUGCCGCGCCUCCCACGCCCUCGCCUGUUGCAACUCGCGGACCUAGCAGUCCGGCUUGCGACGCUUCCUCCCUGCACGUGUGGAUACCUUGGAAGUGUUGCUCCUGCAGCACUUGGACGAGCCGCCAAUGAGCCACGACGAGCCACGAUGAGCCGACGAUGAGCCGCGGCACGAGGGGGAUCUUGCUGCACGUGGACGAGCUGCUGAGGAGCUGCUGGACGUCGAUGUGUUCGACUACGUACGACUACGCUGAUCGACUUCGCUGCAUCAACGCGAAUCUACAUCUUCCGCAUCAUUGCAUCGAGUGGUAAUCCCGUGAUCCUGAUACGGCAGUUUUCCUAGUUUACGCGGUAGAAAAUUUUAUUUUGCGCUAGUGUAGCCUACCUCAUAUCCCAACAACGUGUGCUAUAGGUCACGCAAGCCUGAAAAUGGCCACACCGGACACCGGGUACGAAAACAUGGGGGAUGGACCGAACAUUUGAAAAUGGCCUCCAUAUGUGUUUUCGGCUAUGAAAACGUGUGUUAUAGGUCACGGAAGCUUGAAAACGGCCGCACCAGCCACUAGGGACGAAAACGUGGGGGAUGGACCGAAGACAUAAAAAAUAGCCUCCAGACGCGUGUUCGGCCAUGAAAACGUGUGGUAUAGGUCCUGGAAGGCCAAAAACAGCUACACCGGCCACCUGGGAUGAAAAAGUUUGUGUAAGACCGAACACUUGAAAAUAGCCUCUGGACGCGUGUUCGGCUAUGAAAAGGUGUGUUAUAGGUCACACGAGCCCCAAAACAACCACAGCGAACACCGGCUACAAAAACAUGGGGGAUGGAUCGAAUAAUUGAAAAUGGCCUCCAGACGUUUGUUCGGCCAUGAAAUCGUGCGUUAUAGGUCGCGGGAGCCCGAAAACGGCCACACCGGCCACCGGGAAUGAAAAUGUGGGGGAUGGACCGAAUAAUUAAAAAUGGCCUCCGGAUGUGUGUUCGGCCAUGAAAACGUAUGUUAUAGGUCACGGGAGCAUGAAAACGGCCGCACUGGCCACUGGGGACGAAACGUGGGGGAUGGACCGAAGACGUGAAAAUGGCCUCCAGACGCAUGUUCGGCCAUGAAAAUGUGUGCUAUAGGUCAUGCAAGGCCAAAAACAGCUGCACCAACAACCGGGGACGAAACCAUGGCUGUCAAACCGAACGCUUGAAAAUCGCCUUCGGACGCGUGUUUGGAUAUGAAAACAUGUGUUGUAGGUCACGCGUGCCCGAAAACGUCCACAACGGACACCGGGUACAAAAACGUGGGGGAUGGAUCGAAUAACUGAAAAUGACCUCCGAACGCGUGUUCGGCCAUGAAAACGUGUGUUAUAGGUUGCGGGAGCCCAAAAAUGGCCACACCGGCCACCGAGGAUCAAAACGUGGGGGAUUGACCGAACAAUUAAAAAUGGCCUCCGAUUGUAUGUUCGGCCAUGAAAACGUGUGUUAUAGGUCAUGGGGGCCCAAAAAUGGCCGCACCAGCCACCAAGGACGAAAAUAUGGGGGAUGGACCAAAGACAUGAAAAUGGCCUCCAGAUGCAUGUUUGGACAAAAGUGUGUGCUAUAUGUCGUGCAAGGCCAAAAACAGCUACACCAGCCACCGGGACGAAAACGUGGGUGUUUGACUAAACAAGUGAAAAUGGCCUCCGGAAGCAUGUACGGCUAUGAAAAUGUGUGCUAUAGGUAAUGGAAGGCUAACAAAAGCUACACCGGCCACCGGGGACAAAAUCAUGGGUGUCAGACUGAACACUUCAAAAUGGCCUCCGGACGCGUGUCCGGCUAUCAAAACGUGUGUUAUAGGUCAUGCGAGCCCGAAAACAACCACACUGAACACCGGGUACAGAAACAUGGGGGAUGGACUGAAUAACUGAAAAUGGCCUCUAGACGCGUGUUCGGUCAUGAAAACAUGUGUUGUAGGAUGCGGGAGCCCGAAAACGGCCACACCGGCCACCAGGGCAUGGACCAAACAAUUGAAAAUGGCCUCCGGAUGUGUGUUCGGCCAUGAAAACGUGUGUUAUAGGUCACGGGAGCCCAAAAAUAGCCGCACCGACCACUGGGGAUGAAAUCGUGGGGGAUGGACCGAAGAUGUGAAAAUGGCCUCUAGAUGCGUGUUCGGCCAUGAAAACGUGCGCUAUAAGUCAUGUAAGGCUAAAAAUUGCUACACCGGGACUAAAGCAUCCCCCAUGAGUUACAAUAAAAGGAUUGUAUCCUCUACUCAGUCGGAUGUACUGUGUAGGUGAGAUGGUAAGGAAGCUAUGCGCGUGGUUUGAGGUUGUGGGUUGAAAUCCUACGCACCGCGCGCACACGCGCAUAUUUUGUGUGAAAAAUCAUGUGACUUGUGAUCGGCCAAGGAGAAGUGGGUGCAGCUGUGGCUUAAGUGGCUGAGGCACGCUGCCAUAGACAUCUCCGAUUUGCUCGAAGACUACCAAGACACUAGCAAUAACAAGAACUACUGCUCUUCCUAGCAGACUCUUCACAACCACUUUAAAGCUGUGCAUUUCUCAAUGCAAUUUCGUAGAAGGCAAUCGAUCCAACCACGCGACUAAAUCAUUUGUUCUUGCUAAUGAUGUACAUCAGGUUUUCUAUAUGAAGGACAUGUCUAGCAAACCUAAGAUUUUAGAAGAAAAAUAAAAAUUAUGGGAGUCAAUAAUAAAUCAGGCCAAUCAGGAGAUUAUAGUAAGCUCGAUGGUAUGCCUCCAUUCGAUGUCGAAGUUGGCCCAAGCAUCAUGUUAGCCAAAGAUCAAAUGUUCGUGCAUUGCUACGGUAAAGAUCAAUUGUGUCUUUUAAACCCAUGGAAUUUUUUAUCUAUGUUUUUAUUACACUUAAUGGAUGUCUACACAUUUGCUAGAAAAUCAAAAUAAUUUUGACUUAAUUAUUUCUUUCAACUCAAAUACUCAUUAAAUUUCUACCUUUUUAUUUAAGCAAGAGAGUUGCUCAAAAAAUGGAUACGUAACCAUGUUGUAUCAUACAAAGCAACCACAUUUCACAUAUAGUCUGGCUUAGCAAACACCAUUGUUGUCUUAACAUAGUGUUCAUGAGUUAGUAGACAUGGAUCUAUUUCUAAUUGCAAGUAGUGCAGCGUACAACCAGCCUGCACCGCCGCAGCUCAAUAUGCGAUAAUUUUUUAUCUUCCCAUGUAAUUUUUCUACUCUAGUACAUAUUGAACUCCACAUAAAUGUCAUGUUCUUUCACGCCACAGACGGUUUCUAAAGUUUGGGAACUAAAUAGAUAGCCAAAAAUUUUAAAAAAAUAUUUAUAUGGAUACAUGUAUGUUCUUUGCAAACUAACAAUAUUGUUUACAAUAUCAAAAGGAAUAUGGCUAUGAUCAUUGCCGCAUAUGGCAGGUGAUGGUAGAUGCCGUAUGGGGUUUCUUUAACUUAAUUGUAUAAUAAGCUGAAAUACAUUUUCUAUUUGCAAAUGAAUCAUAGCUGAAAGUGGUGGGAUUGUAGAACCGCCGUCCAUCGUGUCCUUGUAGGACCGCUGCACGAGCCUGUGAGCCACCAGCCACCAUGCGCCCAAGGGCCAUCACCACGCCACAAGAGGAUGCUGUCUACCCGGUUUCGCGCGCCUGUGCUAGCUGCCUGAACCUGGGCCGCCGCCGGUCGCCUGCCCAGCCGCGCGUUGCGCCAGGGUUUUGCUGGUGACGACCAUGGCCUUCGCGAUCAAAUUAAAAAGUUAUCAACUGCAAAGUAUUAGGCCUCGUUGAGCUCUACAAUUUUGAUAUAAAGUUUCUAUUCAUCUGAGAUCAAAUAAAAAAUUUGAUACUCAAAACAUAAAUCCAUUAAUCUAGUCUUGCUAAUCCUUACCACCAAAUAAAAAACUAGCAUGUGUUGUGUGUUUGUGACCCUAAACGAUCACAAAUGAAUAACUUAUGGACCUUGCUAGCGCCCGGAUGUCCAGGCCGGGGCACUAGCAUCAGACCCACGAGUAGCCGUCCGAUCGGGUUCGACACCACUUCAGGAUCUGGCUUAAAAAGAAGUCCCACCGAAACAUUGUUCCAUGUUGCAUGAAGCAACCCACUACCGUCGCCAGGUCUAGAGCAAGCACCACCUUCAAAUCUGCUGCUCACCCUAGCUAAAUAGGGGCAUUAAAAUAUUUCUCGCAUAUCCUUCUCAAAUUAAACAAAAUCGCAACAUCUGAAAAUUUUUACAGAAAACCAUGAAACAUAUCGAUUAGAUAGAUGUAACAAGAUGGAAUAUGGUAUAUGCAACAUAUAGGUUCCGAAAAGCAGAUGAAAUAUUAUGUAAUGAUUCUUGAAACAGUCGAGAAAAAUAGAUGUAACAUCUAAAAUUAAGAAAAGAAGCUUUAUGCAAAUUGCAAAAAGCUGAAACAAGUGGUUGAAACAUUUCAAAUCACCAAAUGCCACAUUUGAAAUGACCAGAUGAAACAUCACGAAAUCAAUUGCAACAGUUGAAGAUGAAAACAUUCAAAUGCCUUGCCUUUCUCCAAAUUUGACCCUCCAAGCAUGAGUCCAGCCAUUUGCACAUUAGACCCUUGGGAGGAGCUCACCGGAGAACAACAAGACCGUGUUAUCCAACAAUUUUCAGAUCAAAUUGCAACAUAAAGAACAAAGCAUUGCAACAUCUGGCAUCACGAGCUACAACAGCAACCAGUUAGGAUCAGGAGAAAGAGGGCAAACACAAGCCUAACAAUGAGUUAUAUCCGGUUUAAACAAGGAUAAAAAUGAGUGUAUUUUACACUCAUCAUGUUGUCUUUUCGCAGCUGUACCGCCUUUAGCGUGUUGUAUUGUUCCUAACACCAAGUCUCCGAGGCCCGAAAAAAUAAGGAAAGUGGUAGCAGCUCAGAAAUCGACUAAGUUUCUUUCCCCCUUUGGCUUUCCUACUAGGAUUCGGAAUCCUCUUUUGUAUGACAAUCUUAAUGAUCUCCCAUAGUCCAAAACUCACAAAAACAUCAAAAAUCCACCGAGAAUAAAUUAAGUAAAAAAACAUGCACACACAGAUAAUAAUAGUAAUCAUGUUUCAUUAUGAUUGCUAAGGUCAGACACAAUACAUAAACAUAUUAGACUGAGUGACCCACCUCACCUCAGAGUAUGCACCAUGUCUGAGUGACCCACCUCACCUUGCCAGGACACUGGUCCUGCCCUCGUGGUUCACGCGCCCUCGUGGUUCAGCAGUGGUCAGUACACAAAUCUAGCUGCCAGUCGGAUCCAAGGGCAGGCAUUUGCAUUGUGGUUGUGUUUGAACAUGGAGAUGUCAUUAUUAUUGUCAGGCACCAUACAUCCUCUCUCAGUUUCACUCCGCCUCACACACGGAUAGCACACCAGGGACCCGACACCAUGCAUGCCGAUUUCAUAUUAUUAAUAUUUAAUUUUUUUAAUGGUUGUUGAAACUAUAUUGUUGAUAUUUUUAUACAUAAUUUACGACCUAAUUUGGAUAUAUUUUUGAAAUAUUCCGAAAUCUUAAAUUCACACGUCUAGAGAUACAGUUAGUCCAAUCUGAUGUUUCCGAUUAUAAAAAUGAACAUAAAGAGAUAGGAAGCGAGAGACGUGAGGGGGAAAGUGAAAUUAGGGCCUAAGGGGUGAAGUUAGGGUUCCAGGUGAGCUGUCAUCACUACGUGUUUUUAAUCGAAAUUGGAAUGUCAGCAAUCGUCAGAUCUUGAGCCAACAGUUGAGACUGCCUCGGAAUGGUAAUUAGGUCUGCGCGAGCUUGCAUUGUGGCCUUCCUUGAAACCUUGGACAUAGGUGUUAUAUUAUUAUGUUCUUGCCAGCACACAGCAGACGACACAGUUGAGAUGUGCAUCACAUUUUCUAUAUGAAGGAUAUGUUUAGCAAACCUAAGAUUUUAGAAGAAAAAGAAAAAUCAUGGGAACCAAAGCGCCACAUAGUUCUUCCAGGUAAAAAAAAAUCAUCCACUAGACCAACACAUAUAGUAACGAUCCAAAAAGUCCAUAUUAAGAUUUUUUGAUAGCAGAAAAAACAUAAAAUGUCUAAUAUUUGUAGUAUUAAAAGGAAAAAUAAUAUAUUCACUUGACCUUUUUCCCGUAGCAACGCACCCGGUACGUGGUCAGACUUAAUGCACGAUGCCUAAGCAUCCAUUGGGCCUACCCUCGUGUGGAUCACGCGCAACAGGACACGGCUCACAAGCUAUGAUGUGCAGCAGUCGCUCAGAUGGCUGAAAGGUACCCUUAAUUUGAUGGUACCAUAUAUAUAUAUAUAUAUAUAUAUAUAAACAAGACAAACCACCGUUGAUACUACUUUGCACUACUUGAUACAUAUAUCUCCACCAAAAGCGAGGCACGUGGGGAGGAGACGAUAUGUGGUUGAUGGUACGGGUACGUGACGAGCGCACCGUACGAAAAUUUUGCUCGCGUCGGACGACUGAUGUGAAGCAUUACCCAAUCUUAAUUAUCUCGCAUAAUCCAAAACUCACAACAACAUCAAAAAUCCGUCGAGAAUAAAUUAAGUAAACCAUGCACACACAGAUAAUAAAAUUGCUAAUAAGGCCAGAGACAAUACAUAAACAUAUUAAACUGUUCAUGACACAUAUCACGGUGGAUAGUGUCUGUGUCCUUAUUACAAGCAAUGAGAGAUGCUUGUCACCACACACACGCACAGAUGCACGACAUACAUAUAGUUGAGACCAACAGAUGGAUCAACUAGAGGUCACCCCAUAUGGUGAACAAUUUAUUGGAGAUAAACAUUAACAUAACUUGGCCAUAGCUUGAAGCAUAGCAACAUAUGCCUAUGAACGGCGUUCAUGCUAUCAUUUUAGGCUUGUCCGCUUCUUCCAUCUUAGCAAGCACUUCCAUUUCUACCAUCUUAGAAGCAACUGUCAAAUUGAGAUAUGGAAAUCCCAUUAGCGCAUGAGUUAAUUUUACAGUGAAAAUAGAGUACAAGAUGUCUUCAUGAUGUAAGUAACAUGCCUGAAGUUGUGAGAUGGGAAGUGAAGUCAACAAAUUACAUUAACGGAAAUGCAUGGAAGGCCACACAUACGUAUUAGUCCAUGAUAUGCUACAAAGCUUGUAUGUACAUAUAGCAAAUUAAAUGCAUUAAUUGAAUAGAGUGAGUUUAGUGAAUUUACCAGAAUCGUCCAGAAAACAUGGGAAACAGCAAGUGUUCUUGCAGACUGCGUCGGUGCCACCCACAGCAAUACAACCAAAACAACAUGCUUUUGCCCGAGCGGCUGAGCAGCAGCCGCACUCUGCCGCGGUGGCCGAGUUAGCAUUGAGGCUCAAGAUGACCAGGCACAUGAUCACCAUCAAAGCGGUAGUCCUCUUUCCCUCCAUUGCCUCCUCUUGCUGCUACCUUCCUUGGUUACCUAGCUAAGUUUAUUGGUUUUGUGUUGAGAGGUGAUUCUUGCAUUGAAUGGACGUUGCCGCGGCUGCAAUUUAUAGGCAGCUGCGCUAUGUGAUGAUAUGGACAAGGUGCAAAUGGGUGGUCCUGAUAUGGAUAAGGUGCAUGCGAAUGGCUGUCUACUUGUAUAGUGUAGCUCCAAUGUACAUACGUAUGUAUCUUAUGCAUGUAUACAGUUGAUGGAUGUACAUGUUUGUUGCACAAAUUCUGAACCAACUCUUCAUAACAGGUCUUUGUUACCAAGUAAUUUUACUUUUGCACGUUUCAGCCGAGAGGCAGAAGAGAAUAUUUUACAGAGAGGGCAGAGAAGGAGGUUGGCGGAGGCGCCGUGGUAGGGUUCCCCGUGUCGCCAAGAUUUUUGCAUUUUACAUGUGUGCAUUGAUCACUUCGUCGUGCUCGCGGGGCCCAACUCCAGGUUGUACCCCAGCAGACCACGUUCUGUUUCUCUGCCUCCAAUGAGCAUGCAUGCCUCCACAAGGACCACAAGACUUAGUAAAAAAGCUAAACUUUGCAACACGAUGUAUACAGAACGUUUUGAAAUGUACUCUCGUUAGGCAUUCACCUCCUUAACAAUCACUGCGACUGUAAAAUAGGUACAUCGACGCUAGCUAAAUAAACCACUAUAAGAUUUAGCAAGAGAUCAUUUUAUACAAUCCUGUAACGAAACAAUUUGACAAUUAUAGUGUCCAUAUAUUUUGACAAAAAAACGUUUAAAUUAUAUAAGGAGGUGGGCCCGAAAACGGUUGGAUUACAUCGAGAACGUUUUGAAACAGUUGGCGGAGCAGGAUUCUGGCGUGGAGCAUCUACAUUGUCGCGCGCGCGGACUGCCGGAGUAGGCACGCUCGACUUGUCCCAUCGCCAGCUAAAUGAUUUAGUACCGGAUGGUCUCUAGUACCGGUUGGAGCCACCGUCCACCGGGAGCUUUCCUAGUUUGGAACUGGUACUAAUGCUAAUAUUAGUAUCGGGUCAAAAACAAUCGGUACUAAGGCUAGGGAUGACACGUCAUUUUUCUAGUAGUGUGUGCAAUUGGUUUUGUAAUUAGUCUAUAUUUAAUACUUCUAAUUAGUAUCUAAAUAUUUUAUGUGAUAGGGACUGAACUUUAGUCCGUGGAACCAAACACCCCAUAAGUAUGUUUGGUGCUGUAAGGAUUUCCUAAGGUUUUAUUUAAUUUCCUAGGCAUUUAAAUUUCUUUCUAAAAUAAGUUAAUGAAUCAUAGGAUCUCAUUGUUGUAUUCAAGCUGGUGCAUUGAUUUUGCCUAUAAAACCCGCUGUGGUCUUCGCAGCCCCCAUCAAACCCUAGCGCCCUUGCCACAAGCUCAGCACCGCUGCCGCCCGAGCUCGAGCACUAGCACCCACCCAUCGUCGUUGCCUUCCCGUCGAUGGGAUCACCGCCCGGAGCUUCGCAUCGUGGUAAGGAAGCCGCCCGUGAAGAUCCCAUGUGCUCCUAUGCCCUCUACCGUGUCCCCGAGUUCCCGAAGUUGCUAGUCUCCUACUGAGCCGACUCUCCGAGCUUCACGUCACCGGUGCCGCUCCGAAGACCUAGUUCGGUUCGCCGUGCACCUCGCUUCAUCCUGAGCUAAACCCCAUAAUGAAUGGUGGCCGGAUGCUCGCCGCCACGGCGCGUCGUCUUUUUUGUUGCCCGUGCAUUGCCUAUCCCCUUCCAGCCGAUUGCAGCUGUCCAAUCGCAAACCGAUGGCCCUGAUCGGAUACCAAGGUCAAUACCGGUCGAACCGAGCCGUGCACUGCUUUUGCAAGAAGGCUCCUGUUUUUCUCUCUUUUUGCACCUGAGGUCCUACGCAGUUCAAAAGUAAUAAGAUCUAGGUCCUUUUUCUUUUGUUUUAGCCCGUGUUCUUUUAUAAAAUCCCGCCCACUAUUCUGUUUGGUCUUUUGACGCGUUAGACCUUCUGUUUAUAUGUUUAAUUAGGUUUUAGGUCUCGAUUUCUUUAAGUUUAGCCCUUGAAAGUUUAGUUCUCUCGCAGUUAAGCCCCUGAACCUUGUUUAGCUCAUAUCUUAAGCGUUUUAAAUCCGUUUUAACAGAUUCUUGCGCCUAUAAGUUCAUGUUGACGCAUAGAUUAGUUGACUUAUAUGAACCUUGCUGAUUAAGCUCCUUGAUUGUGCCUCAGAUCUCGCUAGGGAAGAAUAAUGGAUGGGCUUUGGUUGAGCUUGUAGAUCGACUUGCAGUUGCAGUGAAUGAGCAGAGGAUUGGCAGUGAAUAAGAGGCCGCUGCCCUGCUUGGUAGGGAAAAUAUCUGCUUGCUACCAAGGCCUGUGACGCAUGGACCCCAUUGAGAGUGCAUUAUUGACAAGGACUUAAAGCCAAGGGCUCCACACCUGUCAUUGAUCAGCUGUCUGCUGGGCGCUGCAAGGAGGUAGUGCAUGUUUGACAUAAAGAAGCAGGUGGCCCAGGAUUUACGAAGAAUAAGGAUCUAUUUGAUACCCUUGCUUAUAUUUAGGGGCUAAAAGUUGCUUAUUUGAAGUUGCUUAUUUUUAAUCCUAGCUGUUUGAUUGCAUGGGCUAAAGAGCAUUGAAUGAGGUGGACAUUGUCAUGUUUGCCUCUAAUGAUUACUUCCCAUCACAUUUCUCCCCCCUCAUUCAACGAGGGAAGGAGGUGUAAAGUGCACCUUUUAGCCUCGAUAAGCAACCCUUGUGUUGUUUACGGGCUGAACAUAAGUAGCUAAAGUUUAGCUCCAAUAAACAAGAGUGUUUGGUAUUUUUGGGGUUAAAAGGGGCUAAACUUUAGCUGCUUAUGCAUAAGCAAGGCCAUCCAAAUAGGCCCUAAGUAUGUUUGGCGUUGUAAGUAGGUUUUAUUUAAUUUCCUAGGCAUUUAAAUUUCUUUCUAAAAUAAGUUAAUGAAUCAUAGGAGUUCAUUGUUGCAUUCACGCUGGUGCAUUGAUUUUGCCUACAAAACCUGCUGCCGUUUCCGCAGCUCCCAUCAAACCCUAGCACCCCCGCCACGAGCUCCAGCGCCGCUGCCGCCCGAGCUUGAGCACUAGCGCACACCCAUCGCCGUCACCUUCCUGUCAAUGGGAUCACCGCCCGGAGCCCGCAUCAUGGUAAAGAAGCCGCCCGUGAAGAUCCCGUCCGCUCUCGUGCCCUCUACCGCGUCCCCGAGUUCACCGGAGUUGCCAGGCCACCACCCAGCCGCCUCUCCGAGCUUCAUGUCGUCGUUGCCACUCUAGCUGCCACUCUGAAGACCUAGAUCGGUUUGCCGUGCACCCCGCUUCAUCCUGAGCUAAACCCCAUCAUGCCACGUCAUAGUAAGGAAGCUGCUCAUGAAGAUCCCGUGCGCUCCCGUGCCCUCUACCGCGUCCCCAAGUUCACUGGAGUUGCUAGUCCGCCACCGAGCUGCCUCUCUGAGCUUCACUUCAUCGUCACUGCUCCAGCCGCCACUCUGAAGACCUAGAUGAGUUCACUGUGCACCCCACUUCAUCCUGAGCUAAACCCCAUGACGAACUGUGGUCGGAUGCUCGUUUUCGAGCGAAUUCCGGCGAGAUGGUCACCCGCCGCCGCCGUCUCCGUCGCCCAUGCACCGCCUGUCCCCUUCCAGCCGAUGUCCGGUUGCAAACCGAUAGCCAAAAUCGGAUCUGGUCACCAGGAUUAAUACCGGUCAAACUGAGCCACGUGCGCCGCUUUUGCAAGAAGGCCCCUAUUUUUCCCUCUUUUUGCACCUGAGGUCCUACGCAGUUCAAAAGUAAUUAGAUCAGGGUCCUUUUUCUUAUGUUUUAGCCCAAUUCUUUUAUAAAAUCCCGGCUGCCAUCCUGUUCGAAAUAGAUACGGUUAUAGAUAUGCAAACAUCUGCAUAUUUCCAACCGUAUCUCUUUUGAAUGGGAGACGCCUAACUAGGUUACGUGACAUACGAACAUCAUACGGAUAGAGAGGGGUAGGAUGCCUCACCUUGCUAUCCUACAAAGUGACGACUCGAGGACGGUAAUGUAGCCUCUCCUGCAAAAAAAGAACAUACUACUAUCAAGUUAAAUUUUCGACAGCACCUCCCCUGCACGUGGAGGUUUCCAUAACCUGCAUCAAAUAAAACGGCACGAUGGCUGACAACCACAUCUACAGCACCAGAAUGGCAUGAUGGCCGACUUCCACAUAAAGUUCUUAUACCUUAGAUUGCCAAGUCAAACAUCCUUUUCUAAUUUCUAAAACAAAAGCCCUACCACCUCUCUAUCUUAUUUCCUAUGGGCUNNNNNNNNNNNNNNNNNNNNNNNNNNNNNNNNNNNNNNNNNNNNNNNNNNNNNNNNNNNNNNNNNNNNNNNNNNNNNNNNNNNNNNNNNNNNNNNNNNNNNNNNNNNNNNNNNNNNNNNNNNNNNNNNNNNNNNNNNNNNNNNNNNNNNNNNNNNNNNNNNNNNNNNNNNNNNNNNNNNNNNNNNNNNNNNNNNNNNNNNNNNNNNNNNNNNNNNNNNNNNNNNNNNNNNNNNNNNNNNNNNNNNNNNNNNNNNNNNNNNNNNNNNNNNNNNNNNNNNNNNNNNNNNNNNNNNNNNNNNNNNNNNNNNNNNNNNNNNNNNNNNNNNNNNNNNNNNNNNNNNNNNNNNNNNNNNNNNNNNNNNNNNNNNNNNNNNNNNNNNNNNNNNNNNNNNNNNNNNNNNNNNNNNNNNNNNNNNNNNNNNNNNNNNNNNNNNNNNNNNNNNNNNNNNNNNNNNNNNNNNNNNNNNNNNNNNNNNNNNNNNNNNNNNNNNNNNNNNNNNNNNNNNNNNNNNNNNNNNNNNNNNNNNNNNNNNNNNNNNNNNNNNNNNNNNNNNNNNNNNNNNNNNNNNNNNNNNNNNNNNNNNNNNNNNNNNNNNNNNNNNNNNNNNNNNNNNNNNNNNNNNNNNNNNNNNNNNNNNNNNNNNNNNNNNNNNNNNNNNNNNNNNNNNNNNNNNNNNNNNNNNNNNNNNNNNNNNNNNNNNNNNNNNNNNNNNNNNNNNNNNNNNNNNNNNNNNNNNNNNNNNNNNNNNNNNNNNNNNNNNNNNNNNNNNNNNNNNNNNNNNNNNNNNNNNNNNNNNNNNNNNNNNNNNNNNNNNNNNNNNNNNNNNNNNNNNNNNNNNNNNNNNNNNNNNNNNNNNNNNNNNNNNNNNNNNNNNNNNNNNNNNNNNNNNNNNNNNNNNNNNNNNNNNNNNNNNNNNNNNNNNNNNNNNNNNNNNNNNNNNNNNNNNNNNNNNNNNNNNNNNNNNNNGACAUUCCCAGGCCCGUCAAGUCCAUCACCGCACGCAGUCGAAUCCCGAAAUUUCCGCCAUCUUUUUCCCCUCCCUUCCCUCUCUUUCCCUUCCUUCCUUCUUUUUCCUCCCCUUUCUUUCCCUUCUCUUUUUCCUUCUCUUUCUUCCUCCUCUCCCUUUUUCCUUUUCUUCUCUCUCUUCUUUUACUUCCCUGCCACCUUCCCACUGGCGCUGCACACCCCCCCACUGCCUGGCACGCGCGUCGGGCCGCGCGCCCGCGCCCGCGCCCGCCGCCGCGUCGCGCCGCCCGUGCCACGCCCGCUCGCGCCUUGGCGUCUAGCGCUUGGCUCGGUGCGUCGCGUCGUGUCGCCGGUCACCGGUCGCCGCCCCUGUGGCCUCGUCGACCACGCCGCCACGCCAUCCACGAGCUCCACCACUCCGGCACGCCACCGGUCAAAAGUCCGGCCACCAUCAUUACCUCGGCCCUCGCCCGCCCGUGCGCCGCCUAUAAAAGGGGGGAGCCGAGCCUUCACCUCCACACCCUCACCACGAGCACCUGGCCUUCCUCCACUCCCACCACCAGAGCGCCGACGACCAUCUUCCUCUCAACCUUCUGUUGCCUCCAGGAAGAAGAAGGGGUAAAUCCCUCUCCUUGCGAUCCAACCCACCAAUUUCCCUGAUUCGCGGACAAGUCCUUCCACCAUUCCAAAAAUAAUUACAGAUAGGCCCCUGCUCUCGCGGUUCAGUCCUAAACCCCGUUUUAAAGCCCAUAAUACUCCUUUAAACCGUCAUUUCAUGCGCCAAAUUUCCUCCAAUCCACCCCAAAUUCGACCACAGCCUCCUCUCAUAUAUUCCCGCCGAGGCUUAUCGAAAUUCCAUGAAAAUACCCUGUCUAUCUAUUUUCCGUUCAUGUUUCCUGUUCGGAGCUCAGCGGGUAAAAUCUUUUUCCUUUGUAUUUAUUGUGUGCUCGUUUGUGUGUGCCGUAGAUUGUGGAGUACCCGAGGAGGAGCGCGAGGAGGAGUUCGACCGCGAGCCCGAGCCCGAGGACCCGUACCGCGAGCAGGAGCUCCCGGAAGGCUUUGAGAACGGCAAGUCCAAUCUCACCCUUUGAUGCAUAUUUAAUACCCAGUUUUUCAGACACAACCUAUUGGCCUGUUUUAUAACAUGCAUAUUGUUUUAUCGCAAGACAUGGUUGGAUAGCCACCCCUUGAUUGUUAUGACUAUUCCUUGAUUGUCCCAUAUUUAUCUCUAAAUAUGAGUUACUCUGUUUAGAUGAUAAAUACUGCUAGAAUGCUUAGGAACUCAUUACCCAAAUUCAAACUUGACUACACCUGUUUACUCGGAAAAUAAUGUGUGAGUAUGUUUAACUGAGGAGUUGGGUUUUCGGGUGUAAAGAGAGGUGGUGGAUGAGAUGGAUGGGUGUUUCUUGUGUGGAACGCCGGGUUGAUAGGCUCGUACCUCAGUGGUUGGGCAGAGUGGGAGAUAUCCAUCUUGUCAUGGCUAAGGACCGAGUUGAUGUGUCAUCCUGCCUAAUUCCAUCAUCGUACAACCACUCGACCGUUGUAUGGGCAACGGCUUAGCAUAAAUCCCACUAGCUAAACUGCUAGGCUUCAGGUGUGCUGGUGAGCAACGGGAGGCCUUGGAAACGGACUAAGCUCUUGGUGACUUAGGUCCCGGUUACGGCCCCGUGGAUGGGUUGCUAACCCCUUGAGCGCUCCUAUGUUGACUAGUCAGUGUUGGCUAAGGUGGGUAAUGGCUUUGAUAGGAUCCGUACCGACACUAAGGUGAUCGCGAUACGGUUCCCUACUUGUGGGAAAAGUGUACAACCUCUGCAGAGUUAAAACCUAUCCGGGUAGCCGUGUCCACGGCAUUGGACGAGUUACGGCUCGGUCACACAACUAGCUUUUGGGGAUGACUGGUAUUUUUUUACCGCGUGUGUGGGUGUGUGGAGUUUUGGAAGUGUCCGGCAGGUGUGCCGUGCGCUACGGCGGACGGGGAGUCCGGUAGCGAUAAAACUUGGAUCCUUUGUGUAGGAUCAACCCCACUUGAUAUGUUGUUUACUAAAAAUGUUUUCCAUUAAACCGCUUUGAAAUGGAACCCCGCAUGUGUCUAAAAAGUCAGCUUUACUGCAAAUAAACCAUAGCUUAUUCCUUGAUUAUUCAUAUGCAUAUUCUUGUUGUAUCCCCCUCCGUGGAUGGGGUUGGACUUGCUGAGUACUUUUGUACUCACCCUUGUGUUGUUACUUCAGAGGAGGAUCCGGACUUCGUCGCCGAGGACUUUGAGUAGGAGGUUGCGUCUGCACCCAACGCUGCCUGUGGUGUUGGCCCUUUUGCAGGAUGCUUCCGCUGACGCUUAGCUCCGAUUGCAGCCCGGAGUCCGACUGGACCGCAACUUGGAUUUGUGUUGUUAUCGCUUUAGUCUUGCUUUGGGUGUGGCUUGCCCGCCCGCUCCUUCGGGAGCUGUACGGUUUCUGAACUAUCUGUUGAAUAAAUGUGUUAUCAGCCUCCUGGGACUGAUAAUUUGGAUCACAUUUAGUCUCUACUUAUGUGGGGACGCUUCACCGUGACAUACUUUGCCAAGUGUGUAGCGAAAACACUCGGCAAAAUAUUAUCUUUACCGAGUGUUUUCACUAGAUACUCGGCAAAGUACACUUAUAUUUCAUGUACACUUUUUCAAUAACGUGUUUUACUAACCUUUUUCUGAUAUACUUGGGAAAAACCUUGUCAAAUUCACUCAACAAUGGAUAUAUGAUUUUUCUAUUGAUAUUAUUCCAUUAUUUCAUUCAGUUAUAGCUCAAAUUGAAUUUAUAUCUAUUAAAAAUCAAUAAUUGCAUUUAAUAAAUAAAAAUACCAAACGGAUCCGAAAAAUUUCCAAAAUUUGACAUGAACCAAUCUAUGUUGUAUGUUGCCUGUACAAAAAGCUUUGAAGUCAAACCCCAAUUCAAGUGUCACUUGGACUCCAAAUCUUAUCGGAUCCUUUCUAACUUCUAUGAAUCCUUUUGGGAGAUGAGUCGGUUUGUAAGCAUCAUAUGUCAGAAAUUGGGCGAAACCUUCUCAAUUUUUUACCACAGCCUCCACAUAUAAUAUCAUGACACCUUGACAAAUCUUAUGAUUUUCAGACUUCGUUUGCUUUUUCUAGAAUUUAACAACCAUUCAACCACAUGUUCGUGAUCGUGUUUUCUAAAAAGAAUGUUCAAAAUUUCUUUUCAUUUCCUGGUUGAGACCUCAAUCCGGAUUGAAUAAUAUGAAUAUGAUUUUUUCACUGAUUUUAAUCCAUUAUUUAAAUCACUUGCAGUUAAAAUUUGACUUAAAUAAACAAAUUCCUAUUAAUGCCAUCAAUUCAUUAAAAAUGGCAAACAGACAAAAAAUAGACCAACUUUUAAGAUGGAUUACCAAAUGUCAUAUAUGGGGAGUAGAAAAAGUGUGGAGAGCAGAGGUGGAAAAAAAAGUUUUGCCUUUGCCAAGUGCCUACACAAACACUCAACAAACUUUGCGGAGUGCCUAUUGAAAACACUCAGCGAACUUCUGAGUUUGCCGAGUGUCUAGAGGGAGCACUCGGCAACCUACUUAUUUGCCGAGUGUCCGCGUCGGACACUCAGCAAAGUACUAACGGCUGGCACACUCCCCUAACGGACGGCGCACGUGCGAGCCAUGUGCUGGAGAUUUAUCGAGUGUCAAAUCGUUGCGAGUGUCGUGUGGAUGUUUGUCGAGUGUCUUAUUUGCGACACUCGGCAAAGCUAUUGUUUGCCGAGUGUAUUAUUUAUGCCGAGUGUCUUCCAGUAUACACUCGGCAAAUGAUGUCUUUGCCGAGUGCCCGACAUAAAGCACUCGGCAAAAAUUUUACACUCGGCAACGUUCCUGUUUCCGGUAGUGAGUGACCCGGGACUAAAGACCCCUCUUGUCUCUAAUUGCUUUAUUCCGGAUGGAUUUUCAGGAGAUUUGCUCCCUACCUAGGCAAGUUUUCUACUUUUCGCAAACCAGUUAGCCCAUUGUUGAUGGGACGCAUCACUAGAAACAGCUCGGGAUCCACUUGUCCAAUAAUCGAGAGGGCCUAUAUGGACCACGUGUGCGGAUCCCUAAUUAGGAAAAAAGAAUAAUGGAGUAGGACAUCUCCAUGCUCACCUAGUAGCCGCUGCUAGCUUGUGCGUGUGGAACACGAGUGCCGGCCCAGUUGGCGCUAAGACAUCGUACGUGCAUUAAGGCUACGAUCUCUUCCUUCUAACUCAUGCUUGUGCUAUUAUACAUUAUUGCAUGAUCAUCAAGAUAAGAUCGUAUAGUGACUGAGUGAGACAUGUGUGUACUAACGUGCAUUUAAGCCUCGAACUGUGUGUUGUUACGUGAGCUGCCUCCUCACCUCGCCUCUGAAUUAUUGAACCGUUUCCAACAGUGUUGGUCUCAAAUAAAUUUGACACCAAACAUAUUUAUGAAGAAGAGAGAAUAAUACUUGGAAUUGGAAAAAGUUUAUCUCUCUUUACAAUGGGGUAGGGCUCCCCUUUUAUAGUGACCCAUGAGCCACUUUACAUUUGGAAAAUAUCCUUCCUCAACCACUACAUUAAUUCCUAGGAUAUGCCGUACAUAAAGGUCAUUUGAGGUAACGUGUACAAAUUGAACUCUUCCACAUGGUCACGUUUCUCAUACCUCCUGUUUUCCAACCUCAGAGACAUCAUCUUCACGCCAAGUUGAUCAUCUAGCCUCAAGGCUCCAUCCACGAUCCGGAAUGAACGUCCAGCCUUGAGGCUCCUUCUUCGUUAAGCUUUGUUGAGAACUCAUAACCUCACAUAGUUCUCCUCACUGGUAGAGAAUUGACCUUUAGUCCCGGUUGGUAGGGUGCAUAUCUCUCGGAUAUCCAUCCGGGAUAAACCAACCGGGACAAAAGGGGGGGUCUUUAGUCCCGGGUCACUCAACCGAGACAAAAGACCCCCUUUUAUCCCGGUUGGUAAUACCAACCGGGAUAAAAGGGGUCACCCACGGCCGGCAGCUGCAAAAAAAAAAAAAUUCCUGAGCUCCCGGGAGGCCCCCCACACGCGCAAGUCACAAGUCACAAGUCACGCAAUUUUUCACGCGAAAUAUGCGCGUGCGCGGUUCGUGGGAUUCGAACCCACAACCUCCAGCCUCGCGCGUAGCUUCCUUGCCAUCCCACCUACACACCACAUCUGACUAUGUAGGGGAUACUAUCCUUUUGUAUUAACUCGUGGGGGACCCUUUUAUCCCGGUUGGAAACACCAACCGGGAUAAAAUGCCUCUCAGAGUCUUUUUUUCCCACUAGCCUUUGCAACCGGGAUAAAAGGUCCCGGUUGGUGAGCCCCCCACCAGUGACCGAGUUUUAGUCCCGGUUGGUGAACCUUUUGUCCCGGGCCAACUUUAAACCGGGACAAAAGGGGGCGGAUGGAAAGUCGUUUCUCUACUAGUGCCUCCGAGUAUUGUUCCCGACUUAGAACACUCGAGGUUUAGCUCAGUUGGAGUUUAGCUAUUACUGUUGCCAGUCACCAGCCUCGAGCCCCUCCAGAAGCAAGGUGAUGCGAGAGUACAAGUUUUACUAUUAAAGGUGUUUCCAUAUAAUGUGCGAGGUUAAAGCACUUGCAGCAAAAGCGUGGAGCUGCUUUCAACCAGAGUGCAAUAAUGCAGCCGUGCCCGUCUUGGUCUUGGUCUCCGCCUGAACUAUAGCAGAUGCUGGCAGCGGUAGCAGGGUGGUCCAUUAUAUCUAUGGAUGGCAAUGGUCAGAUUCGGAUGGAAUCAAAUUCGAAUAGCACUUUUUACCACGUACUAAUUCAAAUCCGAAUUCGGAUUCGGAUGUUCUCGAAUGCGAAUACAAAAUGGAUGGUUCGAAUUCGAAUACUUAGCGGAUUUUUGCAUAAUAUUAAUCGAAUAGAAUUCAUUAAAUUUAGCUAAGAAAUUAAAUUUUCCAAAUUCAAAUACUUUGCGGAUUUUCGAAUACAAAUUUUUUCAUACGAUCUCGGUGAAUACAAACUUUAUAACUAAGUUGCAUAUUUAGAUUGUAUCUAACACUUUGUACUUGACAUCCUUUUCAUUUAAAAUUGUUUAAUAGCUCAAAACAUUAUUCUAAGCUCUCUAAUUUCAAAAUCUUGAAUUUUAAAUUUUUCAAACGACCUCGGAUGCAAACAAACUCUAUAUCAAAGUGGUAGUGCUUAAUGAGAUAUAAAUUUUGUAGUUGAUAAGUUUUUCAGUUGAAAUCAUAUAGUUACCGCAAACAUACAAGUUCUUCAUUUGAUGUUAAGGAUUGGAAGGGUUAAGUUUGAAGAAUAUAUUUUUUUACCACAAACUUUUUCAUAUGAUCUUGGAUGAAUAUGAACUUUAUUUUAAAGUUACAGAUUUAGAUUAGAUCAAAACCAUUAUAGUUUACAAAUUUUUCAUUCAAAAUUAUUAGUAGCUCAAAAUGUUAUUAUAAGCUCUCUAAUUUCAAAAUCUUGAAUUUUAAAAUUUUCAAACGACCUCAGAUGCAAACAAGCUCAAUAUCGAAGUGGUAGUGCUUAACGAGAUAUAAAAUUUUGUAGUUUCAUCUGAGAUCAUUUAGCAGUCACAAACAUACAAGUUUUUCAUUUGAUGCUAAGGAUUAGAGAGAUUAAAUUUGAAGGUUGUAUUUUUUAAUACAAACUUUUGCAUACGAUCUCGGAUAAAUACAAACUUUAUAUCAAAAUUGUAGACCUCCAUGAGAUUUUAAACUUUGCAGUUUACAUAUUUUUCAUUCGAGAAUGUUUAGUGGUCCAAAAAUGUAUUAUAAGUUCAGAGAAGAAACACACGUCUAGGCACAUCAUCAAUCCACAACUUUCAAACCCAGCAUUCCUAUUGACUCACACCCUUCCCUUUCAACUUGUCAAGCUUAUCUCCUCCCACUCCUCCAUGGUUCACUCCACCUACCCCUCCCUCCCUUCGCCCCAGCGGCGGCCUAACUCCCAGGACGGUGGCGUGCGGGGCCCGAGCAUCCCUGGCCUCUAGUGGCGUGGCGGGGCGGCAUCCAGCAGCAGCGGCGGGGCUCGGCCUCCGGUGGCGCGCGGCCAGCCCGACCUACCCGGUCAGAGGUGGCGCAGCGGUGCGCGGGCCUCCCCGACCAGAGCCGGUGGGGAGCGGUGCGCGGGGAGGACCUCCCCAGCCGGAGGUAGCAGGGCGCGACCUCCCCUUCCGGAGGUGGCUCCCUGUGGGGGCGCGGCCGUGACAGCUAGCGAGGCAAUAAUUGCUUCCGUACGCAGCAAUAAUUGCUCGUGCGACACCGUGGUACAGUACUCCCUCCGUUGCAGUACACUGGUCCAGGCGUCAGGACACUGGUCCUGCCCUCGUGGUUCACGCGCAUCAGGCCAGCAGACAAGCUAUGAUGUUGCCCUCGUGGUUCACGUGCAUCAGGCCAGCAGACAAGCUAUGAUGUUGCCAACAGUGGUCAGUACACAGAUCUCGCUAUCAGUCGGAUCCAAGGGCGCAGGCAUUUGCAUUGUGGUUGUGUUUCUUGGAACAUGGAGAUGUCAUUGUGAUUGUCAGGGACCAUGCAUGCCGAUUUCAUAUUAUUAAUAUUUAUUUUUUCAAUGGUUGUUGAAACUAUAUAGUUACUCCAAUAUCACGUUUCCGAUUAUAAAAGUUAACAUAAAGAGAUCGGAAGGGAGAGCCGGCAUAAUGAAGCCGACGCGUAUAAUAAGCACUACAGCCGGCAUUUAUACAAACGGGUACGCAUAGUAAAAACUAGAAUUUAUAAAUAAAUGAAGAUAUUCAAAUAUCUGCCUUACUUUUUUCAUUAAUUUUGCAUGAAUAAGGGAUGAUUCAUUAAUCAUUAUUGAACAAAUUGGCACACAUGCUUCGUGCCCGCGUUGGGAGCAUUAUGCGAUGCCACCGAGCUGCACCACCACGGUAGAGGGCCUGUUUGGGAAGGGGUGUUAAAGUUUAACACCCCCCAUUUAACACAUUUUUAACAAAAUGGCUGCCAAACACUUGUGUUAAAAGAGUAGUGUUAAAAUUUAACACCUCUCUUUUCAUAAACACAUGGAGGGGGUGUUAAAAUUUGCUAAAUGUGUUAAAAGUGGUCCCCUCCCCACUUAUUCCUUGGUUGCCCCCCCCUCUCUCCUCCUCUCUCUCCUACCCGCCGCAUUUAAGAGCAUUAUUGAGGGGUAAUGCAGUCCUUUUCCAACAAAAGUGUUAAACUUUAACAACCCAUCCAAACAUCCCACAUGUGUUAAAGUUUAACACCUCAUUUGAGGGUGUUAAAGUUUAACACCCUGUUAAACUUUAACACCCCUUCCCAACUUAACACCCCUUCCCAAACAGGCCACAAGCAACACCACCGGCUGACUGUGCUAGCGGGGAGCACCCUCACCGCCUGCCCGUGGGGACUUCUUCUGCCGGCCAUCGUGUCUUUGUAGGACCGCCGCGCGAGCCUGUGAGCCACCGGUGGCCGUGCGCCCAAGGGCCAUCACCAUGCCACCUGAGGAUGCUGUCUACCCGGUGCCGCGUGCCUCUGCUAGCUGCCUGCACCUGGGCCGCCGCUGGUCGCCUGCACAGCCACGCGUUAUAGCCGCCCCCCUGUGCUGGGCCACCCCAUUUCGUGUUGGAAGAACUGCCACAGUCUCGCGCACUGGGGUUUUGCUAGUGACGACCAUAGCCUCCAAGAUCAAAUGAAAAAGUUGGCACUCAAAAUAUACAUCCAUUAAUCUAGUCGUGCUAAUCCUUACCACCAAAUAAAAACUAGCAAGUGUUGUGUGUUUGUGACCCUAAACGAUCACAAAUGAAUAACUUAUGGGCGUUGCUAGCCUAUAAGUUAUGGGCGUUUGUGACCCUAGUCGCGCCGGGGUCUUGCUGGUGACGACCAUGGUCUUCGCGAUAAAGUAUUAAGUCUCAUCGAGCUCUACAAUUUUGAUAUAAAAUUUCUAUUCAUCCGAGAUGAAAUGAAAAACAAAUGAAAAAAUCCGAAGUAUUAGGCUUCAUCGAGCUCUACAAUUUUGAUAUAAAAUUUCUAUUCAUCCGAGAUCAAAUGAAAAAAUCCGAGAUCAAAUGAAAAGUUGGAACUCAAAACAUACAUCCAUUAAUCUUGAUAUAAAAUUUCUAUUCAUCCGACAUCAAAUGAAAAAGUUGGCACUCAAAAUAUACAUCCAUUAAUCUAGUCGUGCUAAUCCUUACCACCAAAUAAAAAAACUAGCAUGUGUUGUGUGUUUCUGACCGUAAACGAUCACAAAUGAAUAACUUAUGGGUGUUGCUAGCAUCCCGGACGCUAGCAUCGGACGCAUGAGCAGCCGUCCGAUCGGGUCCGACACCACUUCACGAUCUGUCUUAAAAAAAAGUUCCACCGAAACAUUUUUCCAUGUUGCAUGAAAUACCCCACUAUCCAUCGCCAGGUCUACAGGAAGCACCACCUUCCAAUCUGCUGCUCACCCAAGUAAAUAGGGGCAUUAAAAUUGCAGAAAUAUGUCACAUAUCCUUGUCAAAUUAAACUAAAUCGCAACAUCCAAAAAUUUCUUACACAAAACCAUGAAACAUAUCGAUUAGAUAGGUGUAACAAGAUGGAAUAUGGUAUGCAACAUAUAGAUUCCGAAAAACGGAUGAAACAUUAUGUAACGAUUGUUGAAACAGUCGAGAAAAAUAGAUGUAACGAUUAAAAUUUAGAAAAGAAGCUUUAUGCAAAUUGCAAAAAGCUGAAAUAAGUGGUUGAAACAUUUCGAAUCACCAAAUGCCACAUUUGAAAUGGCUACAUGAAACAUCACGAAAUCAAUUGCAACAGUUGAAGAUGAAAACAUUCAAAUGCCUUGCCUUUCUCCAGAUUUGACCCUCCAAGCAUGAGUCCAGCCAUUUGCACAUUAGAACCUUGGGAGGAGCUCACCAGAGAACAACAAGACCGUGUUCUCCAACAAUUUUCUGAUCAAACUGCAACAUACAAAACAAAGCAUUGCAACAUCUGGCAUCACGAGCUACAACAUCAACAAGUUAGGAUCAGGAGAAAGAGGGAAAACACAAGCCUAACAACCCCAAGACGAAACUGAUGUACUCAUCAUACAUCACGGCUUGCCGUGCACAGAGAUGAAGGCCGCCAAGCUCAAUCGAAACAGAGACGACGUGAUAGUGCUCCAGAUCGACGGUCCCCAUCAAUUGUUGCGUACACUGCCAAAAGCAAUGGAAGAAGAAGGGUCGUCCCUGCUCGACCUCCGUAGAUGAGCGCAGAUUGGGGGAAACUGUAUAGAGUGCCGCUGACAGCACAGGCGAGGGGGCUCAGGCUUGAUUCAGGGUGAGGGUAGCGGGUAGCAUGAGGAGACAGUCAGGUUUCAUAGGAGAGAGGUGGAGGAGAGAGCUCUGGUGACUCGGUGAGGAGGGUGCGGCACGGAGAAAGGUGUGUAGCUGAAGGAGCUACAUGGUUGGGGGGAGGCGAGCGUAGAGACCAGAGAGGGAAAAAAAGCAUGGGGAGGAGACGAUAUGUGGUUGAUGGUGCGGGCACGUGGCGAGCGCACCGUACGAAAAUUUUGCUCGCGUCGGAUGACUGAUGUGAAGCAUUACCCAAUCUUAAUUAUCUCCCAUAAUCCAAAACUCACAAAAACAUCAAAAAUCCGCUGAGAAUAAAUUAAGUAAACCAUGCACACACAGAUAAUAAAAUUGCUAAUAAGGCCAGAGACAAUACAUAAACAUAUUGGACUGUUCAUGACACAUAUCACGGUGGAUAGUGUCUGUGUCCUUAUUACAAGCAAUGAGAGAUGCUUGUCACCACACACGUGCGCACAGAUGCACGACAUACAUAUAGUUGAGACCAACAGAUGGAUCAACUAGAGGUCACCCCAUAUGGUGAACAAUUUAUUGGAGAUAAACAUUAACAUAACUUGGCCAUAGCUUGAAGCAUAGCAACAUAUGCCUAUGAAUGGCGUUCAUGCUAUCGUUUUAGGCUUGUCCAGCUUCUUUCAUCUUAGCAAGCACUUCCAUUUCUACCAUCUUAGCAGCAACUGUCAAAUUGAGAUAUGGAAAUCCCAUUAGCGCACGAGUUAAUUUUGUAGUUGAAAUAGAGUGCAAGAUGUCUUCAUGAUGUAAAUAACAUGCCUGAAGUUGUGAGAUGGGAAGUGAAGUCAACAAAUUACAUUAACGGAAAUGCAUGGAAGGCCACACAUACGUAUUAGUCCAUAAUACGCUACAAAGCUUGUAUGUACAUAUAGCAAAUUAAAUGCAUUAAUUGAAUAGAGUGAGUUUAGUGAAUUUACCAGAAUCGUCCAGAAAACAUGGGAAACAGCAAGUGUGCUUGCAGACUGUGUCGGAGCCACCCACACGAAUACAAAGCUGACAACAUGCUUGUGCCUCGUGGGAUACGCAGCAGCCGCACUGUGCCGCGGUGGCCGAGUUAACAUUGAGGCACAAGAUGACCAGGCACAUGAUCACCAUCAAAGUGGUAGUCCUCUUUCCCUCCAUUGCCUCCUGUCGCUGCUACGUUCCUUGGUUACUAGUAAGUUUAUUGGUUUUGUGUUGAGAGGUGAUUCUUGCAUUGAAUGGACGUUGCCGCGGCUGCAAUUUAUAGGCAGC
rnacentral:lncRNA from 1 species